rnacentral:lncRNA from 1 species
AGGAUCCGACGGUGCAGGCCGGCCGCGCGUGCGGAUAAUCACACACAACAACGACCACGAACCACGAGUCGUGCAGCACGAACAAGCUCCAGCUUCAUCUCCGGCUCCGGCCCCCGUCUCCUACUGAAUCAACUAGCAAUCAACCAACGCAUCCAUCGUAUAGAUCCGUCCAUCCCGUCAUGCACGCGUAAGUGGCACUAAAUAGUACUCCUACUCCGUAAAUAUUUCCUCAUUCCCUAAAUAUGUUUGACAUCGUUGACUUUUUUAAACAUGUUUGUUCGUUUUAUUCAAAAACUUUUGUGAUAUGUGUAAAACUAUAUGUAUACAUAAAAGUAUAUUUAACAAUAAAUCAAAUGAUAGAAAAAAAAAUUAACAAUUACUUAAAUUUUUUAAAUAAGACGAACGAUCAAACAUUUUUAAAAAAAGUCAACGGCGUCAAACAUUUUAGAAUGAAGGUAGUCCUAAAAUCACCGCAAUGGUACGCACAGUAAGAUGAGCAGAUAAUUGGGACAUACGUACGUUCGUACACCUGCUAGUUGCGCUGCUCCCCCGUAGUUUCGACCGGCUUCCCGUGAGAUCGAAUAGCAUGCGGCCCAGCAUGCAUAUGUGUAAUAUGUCUUUGUAAAUGUAAACUAUAAUAAAGACUACUUUAUAGCCAAUGUAAUAGCCAAUUCAUAUAAUAGUUGUUUACUAUACUAUUAAUAUCUGGUCCCACCUAUCAUACACAUAUUACGUCUUAGAGUCCAUCCUGCAGCUAGCUACAGAUCUAUAGCCCGCUGUUCUUCUUUUUCUUCCUUUACCUCUUUAAAAUAUGUUUACAGCUAGCUUAAAGCCUGCUAUUGUACCUGCUCUUACUAUUCGUGUGUAUGGCAAAUCACGGCGGCCUAGGAGAUCUGCUUCACUCCAGUGUAUGUCUAAAUCUUGCUUCGGGUUCAGGGCGUGUGUUGGUAUUUCUUAACGACAUUACUAUAAAUAUAAUUCCCAGCAUGACGUAGAAAUAUUCAUGGUAUAUUUAUGGUCACAGAAAUGAUCCACAAGCGCACGGACAUACCAUUGUAGCGUUUCACCCGGAGUAUUCCAAGCUAUCGUAUUUAUUUAAUCCCAAGGGAAGAUAUGACAAGAGAGUACUAUGCUAAUAGUUUAUAUAUUACUUGUAUACAUCAAGUUUUGUGUAGGGGUUAAGUGAUUCAAAGGGUAGGUGACAUACAGAAGAAAGAACUAAGAUUCCCUCACUAAACAAAUACUAAGCUAAGUGGAGAAAGAAUAAGAAAAGAAUUCAUUCCUAUACUUCUAAUAUACAUACAUCUUUAGUCUACACUUGCUAGUAUACAGUCAUGCAACCAAUACCCUUAACAGUGCCCUCCUGGUGUUUCGAGAGACCACCCUUGGUUGUCGAGUUUCUUAUGACAACCUGUCAUGACCAUCCAACCUCCAACCGGAGCUAAAUAAGGAGGAGUAACCUCCCCAGGAAAGUGUACUUAGGAUUAUAUACUAACGUGUAGGAAUACCCGUACUGAGCUGUCACCAUCAGCGGCCCACCUCUACUGUCCCGCAGCAUAUAACCCUAAUUAAUGGUAUCCAAUAAUCUAAGCACCGUGCUUAUAUUACUAAAUACUACUCUGCAUCCUUGCAGCUGACAUAGAGCAACCGAAUACUCGAACAUUAAACCCACAUCAAUGUACCUCUCUGGUAAGCUAGUUACACAGCUAUAUCGAUGCAAGUAUAAAGUAAAGUCGAUACUCAAAUAAUAUGAAUGGAAUAAAAUACCGAAGAUGUAUAAAGAAGAAUAUUCUAUUAAUUCGAUAAGUCAUACAAAAGAAGAGAGGAAAGCUACUAGAACCAUACCCGAAUUCUCCUGAAGACCCGAGGACUAAGAAUACUAUUUUAAUUCCUACUCCACUAGCACUAGGAUACUACUAAACUUGAGAGAGGGAGAGAGCUCUUCUUCUUGAGUGUGUGUAGAAUGGAAUGAGAGGAGUGGUAUUUAUAGGCCAUUAGGUGCCUUGGGAGUGUGGUGAUGCUCAAGAUAUCCAAUAAGCAUAUUCCCUCUUGCUUCACCUCCUUGUGCCAAGUGUCAUGACGGUUGCUUCGGGUAGAAACGGUCACAACUGCCAUGGGAUGUCGAUAACUACCAGCCUGUGGAUUUUCUAGGCCAUCUGGGCUGUUUUGGGUUUGGCCAAACCCAAGGUUCGGCCGAACCCUGGACUGGCCCAAUUGGCCCACUUUUUGGCAGGUGUAUCUCUCGGUGGAUCCUCAGCCCAGUGGUGUGAAUUUUGGGCUUGUUUGCUCGUGUUAAUUCUGUGUUAUGAGCCCAUCUAUCUACAAGUCUGCUUCUCGACAGCGUUUGAUUGAUCGUUCGUCUAUUUUCUGUUGAUUCUCCUCCAUUUAUAUGUGCUUCUCCUGCAUACAUGUUAGUAGCAUAGUAUAUAGUGGGAGUAGAUAUUUUAUUUGGAAAUUUUGCAUUGCAAGCAUAUCUAGUCUUCAUUAAUUGGGUAGUAUUGACGGUCAAAAUUGGUCGAUAAUGACCGUCAACAAACCCCCCAAGCUUAAACCUUUGCUCGUCCCGAGUAAAGGACAAAAGAAAACAAAGACUUGGUUGUUGAUUAGGAGUUGCUACUAUACUGUAUAUCUCAAAUGUACAAGUGUAAGUUAUGGGUACUCUCUCUCAAAUUAAAUAAGUUGGCACGGUGACUUACCCUUACACCUAAUUCCCGCAAGACACUGCCUUUCCUUGUCUUGAGCGGUUGAGAGACAGAACAACAAUUAGAGCACUAGUCACCCACUCUUUAUUCAACUUUUAUUCCGGGAGUUUCCAAAUGAUUUUGCAAAAAAAUCCAAGUUCCUCAUAUGAUUCUCUUGAUCACUCAAAGUGUAUGAAUAUGGAUUCCUCACCAAAUUUGCCUUUAUGAUUCCUACUCUAAGGUUUGAUAUGUGGAGCUUGGUAGGUAUCAAAUGUGGCAUACUUACAUUCACAUUUAUUACUAAGUCAAAAAUUGGACUAAAGCAAAUGACUAGACAUACUCAAGAUCAAGAUCAUGCAAGUGUGUGAGUAAUAUGGUGGAAAUGGAAUGUGGAUAACAAUAAAGAAAAUGCUUCUCCUUUAUGCAUACUUUCUUCUCCAAAAUCCUCCAUUCAUAAAUAUGGAGAGGGCAUGGCUAUAUUUUUCUAUAUGUUUUUUUUAUCAUGCUCAACAUCUUUGAAAGAGCAGAAAUUUAUUCUUUUCAUAGCCAUGCCUUUCCCUCCUCUUUUUUUUCGCAAAGGAUUUUUUUCUAGGAGAAGAAAGCAUAAAUUGGAACGGAGAUUAUUUUUGGAUGAUGAUGAAAUGGAUAUAGUGGAUAAAAUGGAUGCUAGCUUCCAGUGUAGAAAUUUAGCAUAUGUGUGCAUAUGUGGGUGUAUGAUCUUGAUCAUAUGGUAUGAAAAGUAUCUACACAAGUCACAAAAUUUGACAAAGUUCAACGGAAUUACAAGCAACCAAAAUGUAUAUAGUUUAUCAAUACGAAUAUUUUUGACUCUGGUAGGAAUUCAUAUCAAAUGAGGAACUUUCAAGUUUAUCAUUUUUGAAAAAUAAAACAUCUGGAAUUCAAGUCAAACUUAGAACAGGAUUAUAGCAACUCUUAUUUACUAUCUCAUAUCUCGCAACAACCUAGACUUAGAUUAGCAAGUGCAGCUCACUUCCCUCAGGUUCCCAGAUAAUGUUUGGCUUUUCUUACUCAACUUUUGAGAGAGUACUUAACCAUGAACCCAUAUAUGAGAGAUAUAAAACAGAGCAACUAUUCAUCAUUUCAACAUGAAGAACUAAGCAUGUCUUACCUAGCAUAUUAAAUCUAACCUAUCUUUUUGGUAUUGCAAGUUUUUGUGUUGUUUUAAGUUUUAUAAAUGCAAUGCAAAAAUUAAACAUGCAACUUGAAAGGGAAACAUGUAAUGUGAUACAAGUUAAAUAUGUAAUGUGAUACAAGUUACCUCAGUGGGGGAGAGACGUCUCCCCCUAAGCUUGCCUUUUACUCAGGGCCCUUGAUAGGGAUUGAACCCCUGGAAGCGGAAGUAAGCUUGGAGAUUAGCGUGCUGUUGCUGCAUCAGAUUGUUGAUGUUGGUAAACUGUGCAUCAGCAUUUCACUGCCAUUCUUGCGUUUGAGCUAUGUGUCCUUCGAGGUUGUGCUAGAUUUUUCCUGCUUGCGGUUCAAGGGUGUCCAUCCUCCUAGUGAUCUCACCCAAGUCCCAUCGAGAGGAAGUCGAACGCUACCAGUUGGAGAAUGGAGGCAUGCCGCUUGAACUAGAAGAACAGGAGUUCAUGUUUCCCCACUACACAUCCUGAGGUGCUUGCCACUGGUUUUCUGUCACAUCCUGAUUUUCGUUUCAGGAUUUAUAAAUUAUUUAAUAAAUUAUUAAUAGAAUUUAUAUUAAAUGAUCUUUAAUUUUCAAGUGAAGUAAAAUGUGGGAAAUAAAAUUUCUUAAAUCUAAAGCAUGGAUGGAUUUAAUUUUUGUUAAAUUCUCCAUGGUUAAGUCAACUCUCUGAAAUUUUCUCGGAUUUUUCAGAGCUCAAUUCUUAAAUAAUACAAAGAACAGUUCAGUAAUUAUUUGAUCAUUAAUGAUCUAAGUAUAAUUGUUAAGAGCUUUUCUUGUUUAAAAAUCCUUAACUUAUAAAUUGUUGUUUAAAAGGAAUUAUUAGAAAUGAUUUUAAAAGCCUAAAAGAGAAGAUCUAAUUUUAAUUUGCUAAAUCUCAAUAUAAAAAGGGGCCAGAUAAAAUUUCAUUAAAUACUUUGCUUAAUUCUAUAAUUCCUAGAUUUUUCUGGGAUUUAUUUGAGCUAAGGAAGUAUUUUUUAAUAAAUGGAAUUGCAUUUAAGAAAUAAUUUAAUUGAAAAAGGUUUUAAAAAAAGUCUUCUUUUGGCUUUGGGCCGAAAGUCGGCCCAAAACCUCUCUCUUUCCUUUUCUCCCUCCCCGGCCAGUCGGCCCAAGUCGGCCCAGUCCGCGCCGCCGCUCUCCUCUCUCUCUCAGCCGCUGACAGGUGGGUCCCGUCUGUCAGGUUCGUCUUCCUCGAGCCGCCGCUGCCGCCCGAAACCCUAGCGCGCCGCCGUCGCCGUUUCCUUCCAAAUCCGGCCGCUCCUUUCCUUCUCCGGCCGAAUUGAUUGAGGGGAAACAAUCUCCGGGAUCUCCUCUACCUUUUCUCCUUUGGAAACAUCGGCUAAAUCGUUUUGGAAGUUCGUGGAAUAGAGUUCGAUUCGGAUCGGCCUCUUUCCUUCAAGCCGCGAGCUUUCCUUCUCGUCGCCGGCCGCCGUGGGCCUUUGCCGCCGCCUCCUUGCACCUAUAUAAGGACCCCCGAGCUCCCCUCUACCCGUCGCCUCCUUUGCCUUAGCCUGCCGUCGCGUCUAGCGCCGCCUCCGCGUAGCCCUAGUCGCCGCCGUCGUUGCCGUCGGUUCAGCCGCGCCGCGCCGCCGUUGCAGUCGCCGUCGUUGCAGUCGCCGUCGUCGGUCGCCGUCGCCACCAUCGGGUUCGCCAAGUCGUCGCUGUCCCCGUCCACCGCUUCGCCGCCGCCGAAGACCGUCGGAGUGCCGUCGCCGUCGUCGACCCGAAGAGCUUCGCCGCUUCCUCCUCGUCGCCGCCGCCGUCCGUUGGUCUUCCGCCGCCGUUUUGGUCACCGGUGAGUUCGCCGCGUCGUCCUCUACGUGCUGGUGCCCUCCGUUUGUGCCGAAGUGCCGCCGUUCGCCGGCGAGCGUGCGCCGCCCGAGCUGUCCGCUCCGCCGAGCCGCCGCCGCUGUCGGUGACGUCAUCGCUGGCGUCAUCGUCCCUUUUCCCGUGAGCCGGUCGUGGACCGAUCGAUCUCAGCCGUCCGUUUUGGAUAGGGUUGAUCUCGGCCGUCCGUUCCCGUGAACCGCCGCCCGUGCGCCCGGUCCACCGAAACCCUAGCCGCUGACGCAAUAAUCCUUCUUUUCCUUUUCAAAAAUAAUUCAUUAUUGCGUCAUAAUUCAAUUAAAAUCCAUAUAAAGGUUUUAAUCCGAUUUAAUCUUUAAAAAUUCAUAACUAAUUUAUCUUAACUCAGUUUAAUGUGGUUCAAGUUGCAAAAGUUGUAUAAAAUAAAGAUCUACAUAUUAAAAUUGUUCAUAAAUUGAAUUAAAUUUAUUUAAUUCUUUUUAAAUGGGCUUUAAUUAGAUUUAAUCUUGUAAAAUUCUUAAUAAAUUCAUUUGAAGUCAGAAUGAGGCCGUUCAAGUCUCAUAAUUCAUCUAAAAAUAUGAUCUACAUGUUUGUUUACUUUUUAUGUAUUGUUUAUUUGGUUUUUAUUAGUCUUUUUCUUCGUUUUGCGUGUUAGCUUGUCGUUUCCGUCGUUGCGAAGGUUCGCGAGUGCGCCGGAAGUAUUCAAGAAGAUUAAUUGAAGACCGAUUAUUGCAAGGCAAGUCACACAGAUCCUAAACACAAUCCUUUGAGCAUGUUGAUCCUAUAUUUAAAUUCUCUAUUUAUUUCAACUGUGCAUUUAUUUUCGAAUGUCACUGGGUGGUGUGAACCUAUUCUUUUGUUAUGGCCUGUUUGCAUUGAUUAUUCUAUUCCUUGAUACCUUGGGUUAUUAUAAUUGGACUAGUUGAGCUUUAUAUAUAUUGGUUCAACUAGAUAUUAGGUAUAAUUGCUUAGCCAUGCUUAGAAACAUUAGCACACAAUUGGGAUAACUAAUGUUUCACUAUCACUUAUGGUUAUAUUUAAUGGUAGCUCACGAUGGUCAAUCGUGAUUGGUUAAUUAUUUACUUGCCAACUAAAACUUGAUAAUGGUGGGUUGUGAGCACAUGGUUUUGAGAGUCGUGCUCAUGACAAUUAAGGACCGGUUCGCGAGCUACUAUUGUGAAACAUUCACCGUGCCAACCACAAGCCAGCGUGGGCAACGGCUUUACCUUUUGUAUAACAUGAUUCAUUGCGGAGCACCAGACUGAGAAGUGGCGGAGAUAAGCCCACGGGGGUCGCUGGGGAGUCCAUGCCUUGUUUUAUAAGGGGGUGAUUAUGAUCCAGGAAUGGUGCACUGUGGUGAGUUGUGUUAUGCAGAGGGUAUUGUCACAGCCUCUAUUCGGGUACUUUCCAGUAUCGCGACGCAUGGUAGACAUGAUGUUGAGGCUGUGUCUUGUGGGUACAGUGGUACACCUCUGGCCAGAGUAAAACUAUUCGAAUAGCCGUGCCCGCGGUUAUGGGCGAGUUGAGCAAUGUUUUUCGUGAUUAGUCUCACACCUCUCAUCAUUGUAAAAGAUGCUUAAACUGGUAAUAAUUUGAUUAGCUCCUGGUUUGGAGUUAGAUCUGUUCAGCCGGGUAUGGUUGUUCAGGAUGGUUGGGCCUGUGCAGCAUGGGUGUGCUGUUCAGUGUUGAUUAAAAUUCCUGAUUAAUUACUCCACUGUUUUACUUCUCUUAAAUGUUUUGCUAAAUGCUGCUUUUGCAAAUGAGCCAAUAUUAUGCCAUCCUUUGGUAUCCUUGUGCACUUGCAUAUUUGCUGUGUGGCUUGCUGAGUAUGUCAUAUGCUCACCUUGCAAUAAUCAAUCAACCUCAGUUGACGAAAAAGAAUCCAGAAGGAGAAGACGUUUGGCUUAUACCCCAGUUGAGCUGCCUGUGGGAGUGGAGCUGGAGCUUCGCUAGAUUUUAUUUUCCGCUGCAGUUUUCUUCUUGGUGAGGACUUAGUGCCUCUUAAGUAAGUAUUUAUCGUUUUAGUUAAUUUAAUGAAUCUGUAUAUUAAAUUGUCAGUUUGUGUACCUCGGCUGAUUCCUGGACGAGGAUUUUAUGCACAAAUAAGUUCGGAAAUUACUAGUGAAUUUCCGGGCGUGACAUUUUCACUAGCACUCUGCCAGGCCGGACCCCCGGUCCUAUGGCGAGGAGCUUGGGUCCAUCUAGGAUCAUCUCCAGAUGGUUCCCAGUCGGCCUCAUACAUUUGCACCGGCGGUGAGGGUGUUGAACCUUCGUGCUCGUUUCUUGCCAUGUUGCGGGUGUCCAUGUAUGAUACACCUGCAUGAGAUUCUUCUAUAGUCUGCAGGGGAAUGGUUAGCUCAUGGCAGUUGUACAAAUGAUAUCUCGGGUUAGGUAACGGGAUUUCAUUCGUACAACCUGGGAAAAAGAAUAUGAGAGAGCCAUCUACUCCAUGUUUAAGUAUAUGACCUUGCACUAAAUAAGUCUCAUCAACAUAGGAAUGGGGGUUUAAAAUGUAAGCAAUUUGAUCAUUAGAAAUAACCCCGAGCCCGUUCGCUAUGCGAGUAAUUAGACAAGUGCACUCAACAGGAGCAGUGAACUUUAUACUCUCUAACUAUUACCUAAUCAUACAUUUCACAGGGGCAACUUUGAUCUUUCUAACCAUGGCAAAAUGAAUAAUCAAUUCAUCCUCUCUAAUAGGUCUAAGAUCACUUCUAGAAAACAAAGUCAUAGCAAUCCAUUUGUGCAUAAGCCUAAGAGUAGGAUUAUGGAUGUCAUUUGUUCUAGGUUUCUUGCAAAUUGGAGCACCAGAAAUGUCUUCCCAAAAUCUGUUUUUCUCGAACCCGGAAAUUCCUUUCUGAAGAUCGAUUUUAUAGGUAUCGUGAAAACCAAGAAGUGUACCUAAUCCUUUCCAUGUAAGUUUAUGUUCUUUACGGAAAAAGCGAAAGGAAAUUCCAUCUUUUAUUUCUUUCAGAGUGCACAAAAAUUGUAAAGUAAGCAAACGAAGACCAGGCUCAUCUACUACUGCAAAUCUCUGCCAUCCAACAGCUUUCCAAAUAAUGCGAAAGGCAAGCACUUUGAACAUAAGGCGGACCACCGUACGAAGCCUAAACAUCGCAGCGGGAAAAUAGUGUUUGCUAUGGUGAAAGAUCUUAAAGUAGUGUUUGGAAUGGGACCUGGCAGCCAACCUAUAGAGAGCGAAGAUGGUCACGCAGCGAUGUGGAAAAAGAACUCUAUUUUUUGGGAGUUACCCUAUUGGGAAUUCUUGGACGUCCGCUACGCAAUCGAUGUGAUGCACAUCACUAAGAACCUUUGCGUAAACCUGCUUGGCUUCCUAGGUGUAUAUGGAAAGUCGAAAGAUACACUUGAAGCACGUAAUGAUCUGAAGCAUAUGGAACAACACGGCGACCUUCACCUGGAACCAAAGGAGAAAUGAAGCCAUUACUUGAGUCCAGCCAGCUACUCUCUUAGCAAGGCAGAGAAAGAAAGUAUAUUUGAAUGCUUGGAGAGCAUCAAGGUAUAGUCUGGAUACUCCACGAACAUAAAGCGAAUAAUAAGCACGAAGGAGAAAAAUUUCGCAAACCUAAAGUCUCAUGACUGUCAUGUGUUGAUGACACAACUGUUACCGCUACCAGUUAUUAUUCGGGGUAUCCUUCCAGACAAUAUCCGGGCAACAAUAACAAAGCUAUGUGCUUUCAUGAACGCAAUUUCGCAGAAGGUCAUCGAUCCAGAUAGAUUAGAAGCCCUUUAAAAUGAUGUGGUGCAAUGUCUUGUCAGCUUUGAGUCGAUAUUUCCACCUUCAUUUUUCAAUAUAAUGACGCAUCUGCUUUGUCACCUUGUCAAAGAGAUCGGUAUUCUCGGGCCUGUGUACCUAAACAACAUGUUUCCUUUCGAGAGGUACAUGGGCGUUCUGAAGAAGUAUGUUCAUAACCGUGCUUGUCCAGAGGCAAGCAUCGCCAAGGGGUAUGGAACAGAGAAGGUCAUUGAAUUCUGCGUAGAAUUUAUCGAAGACCUUCGCCCAAUCGGUGUAUCUGAAUCACGCCAUGAAGGGAUACUAUGGGGAAAGGGGACUUUCGGAAGGAAAGCAAUAAUGACGGUAGAUAACAAUUUAUUCCGUAAAGCCCAUUUCACGGUUCUGCAACAAUCUUCAUUGGUGGCUCCUUACAUCGAGGAGCACUUGGCUCUUGUUCACGCCAGAAACAUCAGUAAGUCCGAUGCAUGGAUUACACGGCAUCAAAUUGAUACUUUCCCCGCAUGGUUGCGACAACAUCUCAUGGGUAACGAGGCGAUUAACUGACAACUGGCCUUCCUGGCGAGGGGACCAUCUGGCUCGAUCGCGACAUUCUAGGGAUAUGAGAUCAAUGGGUACAUGUCACGCCCAGAAAUUCCCGAAUAGAAUUCCAAGCAGAAUGUGCAUUAAAACCCCCGUCCAGGACCGGCCGGGGUACACAAACGACAAAGUUGACAUACAGAUCCACGUCUUACAAACAUUAUAAAGUCUUACAUAAAUGCAGCGGAAAAAAAAAGGAUAACUGGAACUAAGCCUUGACUUGAACUGCAGCGGGAACACCACUCCACAGGCAUCCUCGAUGGCACGGACGAAGCCUAGUCCUCGGAGAAACCACCAUCGGACACAUACUCAUAUUCUAGGGUUGGGAAAAUAGAGCAAGACUGAGUACUACCCACUGUACUCAGCAAGUCAUACCGGAAUAGGGGUAUGAUGCAGGGAUUUAUCAAGGGAUAGCUAUAGUGGUUCUUUUGCAUAAAGCUAGCAUUUACAAACAGAAGUUGAAAUAGUAAAACAGUUGUAAUAAUUAAUCAAUAUUAACCAUCCACUGUUCAACGCUACCCCACGUUGCAACAGACCCAACCAUCCACCUAUACUAUUCAAUUCCAUUAGACUAGUCUAGGAUGUGUCUAAUCACGGUGAAUCUGGUUGACCGCCCAUAACCGCGGGCACGGCUAUUCGAAUAGUUUUACUCUGAUCAGAGGUGUACAACUGUACCCACAAGACACAGCCCCACGACACGUUUCUGUGCGCCGACAUGCCACCACGACAUACCGGAAAGAGGCCGUGACAUGACCCUUCGCAUAACCCCCUCUAACCAAGCACACCACACCUCAGGUUUCACCCCCACUCCUCGCAAGGCAGCGGGCAGUCCCCUCUCGUGCCUAGGUGAAUCCGAAAGCCGCAUAGGCCGUCGCAGGGCCCAUCCAAACUCCAUCACGCCCACCCUUGCCUGGAUGCGUUGGCUAGAGGAAAGCUACACUACAAGCCCAACCGUUGCCCACGCUGGCUUGUGGUAAGUACGAGGAAUUCUUCCAGGGUUUCCCGCGAACCGGUCCUUAAUUGCCAUGGGCGCGACCAGCAAAACCAUGCACCCACAGCCCACCAUAUGAUUUAUUUUAAUUAAGCAACACCGAGACGGUGGCACUAAUCCAACAUUAAUAUUAGGACCUACAAUCUAUACUUCAAUAUGUUUUCCCUCAUUGUGUGCUAGUUGAACUACGCAUGGUAAGCAAUCCCUAGUCCAAUCUCUAGUCGUGUUAUAUCCCAAGCUAACAAAGGAACAUGGUACAAACUAGUAUGGCUAUAACAGUAGGUAAACAUCCCAUGAUAAUAUUAUAAAACAAUGCAGUAUUUGAAGGAAAACAAUAGAGCAUUUGCAAUAUAGGAUCAACAUGUUCAAGUGACAAGCAUUGUCACGACCAGAAUUAACCCAACGGGCAUUCCUUACGUGCGUGCAUUAUUCCUUGUCCCAGGAGGCAAGGUACACCAAAAGUUGAUACAAUUCAGAGUUUAACAAGCGGAAGCGUAAAUAGUUAAUUUAUUACAUGGGCGGCGAAGGCCCAGCACAUAAGAAGACAAACGAAAAACAGCGGAAGACUAGGGCGACGACCACAGGCGCUUGACGGCAGGCACGAGCUAGACACCAAAGCCUUCAUCUUCCGGGAACUCCUCUUCUAGGUUUGGGAAAAAUUGAGCAAGACUGAGUACAACCACCGUACUCAACAAGACACACCCACAAGUGCAUAAUAAAUGCAAGGGAGUACAAGGGGGGUUAUAAUAUAAGGGUUAGGGUUUGUAGUAAACAGCAUUAAAAGACACUUAGUUGCUCAAAGCUAUUUUGUAAAUACGAUCCUAGAGCUAUACAAUAUUAUUAAUCAAGGCCGUGAACCCACACGAACCUGCCUUAACCCAAGGCCUACGAUGAUUCAGACCGAACUGGCAACCCGACCCUGGGUCCCAGCUCGUCCCAAGCCAACCCAGGCCAACCAUUCCACAUUUUAGUCGUUAAGCAGGUUUUAAGAAUUAAAACACUAACUUGGGUACCUUGCUCGGCUUGCCCAUAACCGAGGGCGCGGCUAUUCGAAUAGGUUAUACUCUGAUCAGAGGUGUACAUCUUUACCCACAAGACACAUCUUCCUCAUGUAUAACCACGUGCCACAUACCACCACGGUAUACGGGCAGAAGACGUGACAUAGUUUCCAACCCAUCCUAGCCAUAGACAAGAGUACCGACCCAACCCCACCUACGGCUAGAACCCCCGGGACAGGUAGGCAGGACUGAGCCCCUAGCAGCAGGACACCCGCCCUGUGCCAUGACAUCUCGACUACCGAGCCGCAGCUCGUGUAGCCUUCAUUUGCCCUAGAGAUGUCCAUCGACCCCCGACUUCGUCCAUCUCCAUCCGUGUACUUUUGUUUAUAACCAGACUGAGCCACAAACUAAGCCUUACCCAUUAGACAUGUGGAAGUACGGUAGUGCUUUGCAACAGAGGCCCGAAGACCGGUCCUUAUAUGGCCGAGGUGCUACUAUCAAAACCAUGCACCCCGAGCCCUGCCUAAAACCAUUUUGAGGAUUUUGAAUAGAGGGGGAGGUGUGAAUCCAAUUCCACAAUAAAUCAACCAUUCCAUAAUGUUCAAGUGAUAUGAAUAUUCCCAAAGUCUAGAGUUGUAAAACCACCUAAUGUUGCCUAAUUAACCAGCGAAGCAUCUACCUAAGUUCAUACUAGUGGAACCAUACAUAGAGUACCCACUAGUUGGGGUUUUGUUUAUUCUAGGGUGAACAAGGUAAUAAUAACAAUAGCAAUAAUAAUAAGGUCAUAACAAAGGUAAAUAGUCAUGGCUAAAUAAAACAGUGAUAACGCGGGAAUUUAAAUAAAGCGAUAAUGAAAUAAUUUAAAUCAAAAUAAUUUUAUAAAAUGGGAUUCAAUAUGUUCAAGGAUGAUGUGACUUGCCUUGCUCGCUUUCCCAAACGUCGGCUUCAACCUCCACGAAGAGCGGAUCUUCCGAAGCUGCAGCGUCUACACGACUAACGGAAAGGAAAAAGGCUUUUACUCUAAUAAAAUCCACAUAACAAGCAGGAACAAAGCACAAAAAUGGGUUCUUGACUUCUUAAGGGAAAAUUAGAGACUUGAACGGUCCAAUUCCGAGUUCAAAUGGCCAAGUUACGGCCAUUUGAAUUUUAUAUGCUCUUUAAAUGAAUAUUUACAAAUUUCUUCAUUUAAAUUUUAAUUUAAAAGGGAUUUAUUGCGUCAGCCGAGGGGAGAGGGCGCGCGGACCGGGUCCACGGGAGUGGGGCCCACGCGGCAGCCUCACGGUCCACGGUGGACCGGGUGCACCCGGGCUCGCACCGGCCGGCGCCGUGGGCCCCACGCGUCAGCCGCACCCGAGGGCGCGGGCGGCUGACGGCCGGGCCCCACGCGGCAGCCACUCGGCGCGCCCGAGGGCGGCCAUGCCGGCGCGGUCGGAGGGAGGCGGCGCGCCCACGCUCCGAUGGUCGCCGCCGACGACCACAGGCGCGGCGGAGCGGCGGCCGAGAGAGGGGAGGGAAGGGGGAAAGGAGGCGACGGUCCACGGCUCACCCCGGGGCGACGGCGGCGACGGAGGAGGCGGCCGGAGCGGAGGGAGGCGGCGGCGCGGCUCGGUAGGAGUCGCGGGAGGGAGCGGCGAGAGCGGAAAGGGGAAGAGGAGGGCACGGGGAACGUUUUAUAGGCGGAGGGGGAGGCGGACGUGGCCAGGAGGACCUCUGAUUUCGCCGGCGACGUGGGGAGGAGAGAGAGGAAAUGGGGGGAUUCAAAAUGCGAAUCCCGCCCCUUUCGAGCGCACGCACGGGCCGGGAGACGCGGGGAGAGGGCGGCGACGUGGGGAGGACGCGUGGGCGACGCGGCGUGGGCGCGGGAGAAGCGGCGGAGGUGGGCGUGGCGGUUUCGGCGGCGGUUGCGGACGUGGGGCGGGCGGCCGGAGGAAGGGGACGACCCCGACAGGUGGGGCCACCUGUCGACGUCCCGAGAAGAGAGGGAGGGGCGGCUUGGGCCGGCCCACAAGGAGGAGGGCGCGCGCGGCGGCGGGGUGGAAUGGGCCGACGGCCCAAGAAGAGGAAAAGGAGGGAAAAGAAAAAGAAAAGGAGGAAAAGAUUUUCCCUGGGAUUUAAAAAUUGCAUGUGCUCAAUUUUAAUUGGUUAAAAUUAUUUUGAGAGCUCUAAAAAUUCCACUAAAAAUCUUGUUAGCGACUUUCGACAUGUAGAACUCAAGAAAAUUCCACAUGCCAAUUCCGAUUAUUAUUUGCAUUAAUUUAUUAAGGUUUACUCUUGCUUUACACAGGUAUUUUCUCGAGACCAUUUAUAAAUUAAAUUUAGGCUUGGGGAGAAGAACUUCGGGGUGUGACAGUACAUAUUCUAUACAAGAGCCCAAGACAUGAAGAGCACGAACCAGAACAGUGCUAUUCGUAUCGAUGCCAUGGGACACGAUGGUACAACUGGCACAUAUUACGGUGCCAUCAAGGACAUAUGGGAACUUGACUAUGGACCUCUCAAGGUCCCUCUGUUCCAGUGCCAAUGGGUUAGGUUGACUGGUGGAGGCGUAACGAUUGAUGACAGUGGGAUGACAACGGUUGACCUUAACAAGGUUGGAUACUCGGACGAACCUUUUGUCCUUGCCAAUGAUGUAACGCAAGUUUUUUACGUGAAGGACAUGUCUAGCAAAGGAAAGAAGGGUAAAGGGCCUGACGAGCCGAAGCGCCACGUGGUUCUUCUAGGCAAAAGAAAAAUCGUCAGAGUAGAGGACAAGACUGACGAGGAUUACGAUCAGUUUGAUGGGCAACCCCCUUUCACGGUGACGAUUGACCCUAGCAUCCUCCUAUCAAAUGAAGACACCCCUUACUCACGUAGCGAUCACAAGGAAGGAACACUAGUGAGGAGAAAGUAUGUGCGGUCAACCGUCACCGCCGAUGUAUUGCCGUAAUUGUUGUGUACAAAAUGUAAACUAUUUUGGAUGUAUUGAAUAUCCAUGUAAAUCAAUUGUUGUAUGCAUAUGUUAAUUAUGUAUGAUUAUUAGAAUUUUUAACAAAUUUAAAUCAUGCUUAUGCUAGUUAUAUAUGAUAAUUAGAAUUUUUAAAAGUUUUAAAUCAUGCAUAUGCUUAUUAUAUAUGAUUAUUAGAAUUUUUAACAAUUUUAAAUCAUUCAUGUGGUGUUUACAUAUGAUUAUUAAAAUUUUAAACAAUUUUAAAUCAUGCAUAUGCUAGUUAUAUAUGAUUAUUAGAAUUUUUAAUAAUUUUAAACCAUGCAUGUGGUAUUUAGAUAUGAUAAUUAGAAUUUUUAACAAUUUUAAAUCAUGCAUGUGGUAUUUACAUAUGAUAAUUAGAAUUUUUAAAAAUUUUAAAUCAUGCAUAUGCUAAUUAUAUAUGAUUAUUAGAACUUUUAACAAUUUUAAAUCAUUCAUGUGCUUAUUAUAUAUUAUCCACUUAAUGUACUAUAGACAACAAUAUAUUUUGAAGGUUUUGUCAUUAAUUUUGUGACUUUAAAUCAUUUUAAUGCAUUAUUUACUAUUUUAGAAACCCAUAUGUAAUGAAAUUUAAUAUGCAGUGCUAUUAUCUUUAGUCCCGGUUCUUAACCUUAACUGGGUUAAAAAAGAAUUUGGAAAUAGCGGGAAAAGAUCUUUAGUCCCGAUUGGUGAGAACAACCGGGACUAAAGAUAUAAGAUUAUUAAAGUUAUUAUUAUAUUAUUAGAGUUUUAAUAUACGAAACUUAGACUUAGCAUAUAUGAUUAUUUGAGUUCUAAUAUACGACACUUAGACUUAGCAUAUAUGAUUGUUAGAGUUUUAAUAUAAGAUUAUUAGAGUUUUAAUAUAAGAUUAUUCGAUUAUUAGACAUAGCAUAUGUGAUUAUUAGACUUAGCAUAUAUGAUUAUUAGACUUAGCAUUUAUGAUUAUUAGAGUUUUAAUAUAAGAUUAUUAGAGUUUUAAUAUACGAAACUGAAUUAGACUUAGCAUAUAUGAUUAAUUAGACUUAGCAAAUAUUUCUUGUAUGAACAGAUGGCUGAUCGCGAUGACGAACAGAUACUAUACGAUACAAUUGCAGAGGGAAGCAACCAGUACUGGAACGAAGAAGAGGGGAACGAGGAUCCAAAACAGUACUUGAAUGAGGAGGGGAACGUGGAGAGGGAUGCGGAGGGGAACGAGGAGGGGAACAAGGAGGAGGAGGCUAGUGGAAGUCAACCCUCCGCUGGACAGAAGAGGGCACGCGGACAACGAGGUGCCGCGAAGAAGAUAGAGGGUCGGCACAUCAUAACUGUGGUGGACGAAGACGACCGACCUAGUGCCCCGGCAGAAGUAGCCAAGAAUUUUGUACGACACGGCGGUUGGGUUGUGAGGGAUAACGUGCCUGUCAGCAAGGUGUACUGGCGCAGAACAAGGGCACGCGGGGAUUAUGACAGCUUUGUCCCGGAAUCAGAGAAAGAGAUGCUGUGGACCACAAUGCUCGAGACGUUUACGCUCCCUGCGGGUACGGAGAACAUAGUGAAACAGUGGACUCUUAAGAAAAUGGCAGAACAGUUCGAGAGCUUCAAGGGAGAUCUCUACAAGAAAUACAUCCUGAAGUGGCUGACACCGAACUUCGACGUAUUCCCAAAGCUAAGGGAUCAUUGGGACGAGUUCGUUGCUUACAAGAUAGGGCAACAAGGGCGAGCGAUGAUGGACAAAAACAAAGAAAAUGCCGCCAAGAAGAAGUACCAUCACCACCUAGGGUCAGGCGGCUAUAGCGUCGCAAUGCCGAAAUGGGAGGAGAUGGAAGCAAGCUUGAUUGAGAGGGGUAUUGAACCGGUCACCGCUAAAUGGCCAGAUCGAUCAAAGUUCUGGUACUAUGCUCACGGUGGAACGCUUAACCCAGUUGAUGGCUCCCUGGUGUUCAGCGAUCAGAUACGCGAGGCUGCCAGUUGACUAACGGACGUAGUGGAAGCCUCUUCUCAGGGCACGUUCUGACCCGAUAGAGAGAAGGACAAGCUGUUACUCGCCCUGCAGACUCCCGAGCAUCCAGGACGAACACGAGGGAAAGGCGUUAUUCCUUGGAAGAUUGGAUUCAAGGAGGACAUCCACAUGUACAGGAGUCGCCUGAGGAGCAAGAGAGAUACCGAGGCGAAGAUUGCAGAUCUUGAGUACAGGGUAUCGAGCUACGAGCUCAGCAUGCAAGAGGAGGAGGCAAGGAAGGUGGAUGAACUCAUGGCCGCACAUCGGUGCUAGGAUCCCCAACCGUACAUUCCUCCUGUAAUUGUUAGCCCCUCAGGCAAUCGUAGCAUCUGCGCCUCAACGGGGCAGGUAGGAUCACAUAGCAUGGACGCCAUGCAAACUUAGGACGAAACCACCUGCCCCGUUGAUGAGAUCACGCAGCGGACACCAGGUGAGCUGCAUAUUCCCUUCAAGAACUUAUCAAUAGAGGUAUGCUCGUAGUUUUAUGAUUUUUGACUUGUACAUUCCAUAAGUUGCUGCUUAGGUUGAUUACUAAUAGAUAAUCUCAAAUUAGAAAAAGCACACCACUUCGGACACCACACAACACAAGUGCACACAUGUCAGGGUACUGACAUGUGAAAUUAGUUGAGAUUAAUAAUUUAAUUCUAUACAGCAUUUAUAUAUAGAUGGAGUUAAGAUAUCUGUAACACUGUUUUUAACGACAUUGCCAUAUCUCACACGUGGAUAAUUGAUAAUAUAAAAAAAAUACAUGUACAAAUAUAUUUUUUAAAAAAACUACAUGUGCAAUUGGUUUUUUUAAUCCACAUUUAAUGCUGCAUGCAUGUGUCCAAACAUUUGAUGUGACGGAAUUUUUGAAAGUUUGAAGAGAACUAAACACUGUCUGAAAUAGAAGUCAUUAAAUGUAAAGAAAACCGUGAUACAUCGAAUAAUCAAAUAAAGGGGUGGCUAAGGAAUAAGAGGUAGCGACUGAAAUCGCUUUUAAAAACUAUAAAAUUGUUCGAUCUUUUGAAGUCCUAAAAUAAUGAGACAGCUAUUUAACAAAAUAUAAGAAAACUCAUAUGUAAAAGAAGAUAAUUUUAUAUGGACGGUAGCCGCGCAAUUGCGCGGGCCACUGCUAGUUAACUUAAUGAGUAAUAGAAAAAUAACCUUCACGUUCGCUCUCACAACAUAAAAAUUACCACGUUAAUCCGAGAAAAAUCAGAAAAAUAGAAAAAAGUCAAAAGGAAAAGGAUUGUUAAAACGCGUGAUAAACUUACUCAUGCAUGGGCAUAAGUCAUAACAUGGAAACGGACAAGAGUCCUUUUUGAAAAAUGUGGUGUCCGUAUAGAUAUAUAGAUGUGGUGUCCAUAUAGAACACCUGUGCAUGGAAGGAAUCUUUAGGGAAAAAAAUAAGCACCGUUGCUAUAUUCAUAUACAACACAAAUUACUAGCGAUUUAGUACCUAUAUAUAUGUGUUGGCUCAUUGCCUUUUUGAACAGUAUAUUACAUCUCAUAAGUAGGUAGGCGCAAGCAAAUCGUAAAUACAAAGCACUUCAAAGGAGAAAUUCUCUUAAUAAUUGGACAAAAAGAAAAAAUUGAGUCUAUUUAGAAUAUAAAUAGCUGAAAUUCAAAAUUAAAAAUAAGGAUAUUUGAAAGAAGACUAUAGUCUAUACAGAUAUACAAUUUAAAACUAAUUAAAAUUCGGAAUUAAUAAAUAAAAAAAAUUAAAACUAGAGGUUAGAGUUCAUAUAGCACUAGAAUUUAGAAAUUAAAAAAUUCAAAUUAAAAAUAUAAGUAAUAUUGGAAGAAGAGUCUAGGGUCCGUAUAGAAUAUAAUUUAGAAAUAACUAAAAUAUAGAAUUAAAAAUAAGAAAUAUUGAAAGAAGGGUUUAGAAUUCAAUAGAAAUACAAUUUAUAAAUAAUGGAAGUACAAAAUAAUAAAAAAAAUAUUGGAAGAAAAGUCUGGAGUCCAUAUAGAAUAUAAUUUAGAAAUCACUAAAAUAUAUAAAAAAGUAAGGAAUAUUGAAAGAAGAGUUUAUAGUUCAAUAGAAAUAUAAUUUAUAUAUAAUGGAUAUCCAAAAUUGUCGGAGACACUCCGGACCCAUCAUUAUAUAUGCAAGAUGAAGUGAAUCACUUCAAGUCAUCUAACACACAUAAUGAAACAUCCGACGUCUCGAGAGAAGGAUAUUGGCGACACGGGUGGUCCUUUAGCCUGCUAGUCAACUUCAGCCUGAGAUGUACCCGUCAAACCACACGAAAGCGGCGACCAGAUAUGUUACACAUUCCGACUUGACAAAAAUGGCUAAAGAUAUAUCACAUCUCAAAUAUUCUUAACUCAUACUCAUGUGAAUCUAGUUCCCAGGAUGUGCACUAGAUUCACACUUUUAUCUCAAGCAUAGAUAUACAUAGCAAAUACAUGUAAGAUGAAAGAGAUCGAAUUACAAAUAAUAAUUAGAUACACGGCCGACCGGCCAAAUAAAAAUAUUGAACAGCGAAAGCUUGACUACCCAAUCCACAGGCACACAAAUUAGGGGUUUACCCCAUUAAGUUCACGUCCUAGAAGAAGCAGUCGAUACCCGCAUCACUCAAAAUUAGACUAAGUCUAUAACCUGCAAGCAAAUGAUUAUUUCAGUAGCAAGAGUCAGUACAUUAUUUCUAAUAAUGUACUGGCAAGCACAAGACAAGCCUAACAAACUACAUGCAAGGCAUAUAAUCAAGGAAGACCAUAUGUAGUUAAAUUUUAGCAUAAAGCAAGUUUUAGUUACAUAAAACAUUUCCAAACAGAUUUGCUUUUGAAUAAAAUUCAGCAAGCAAGUACUUAGCAUAUGGGCAUCAAAGUAGGCAUUAAUCAAGUAUAAAUAUGCACCUCAGUGCCAUCCAUGGCAGCAAGGAACUAAUUCUCAAAUCUCUACAUAAUUUGAAGGUAAUUUCAGCAUUUAGAAGAAUAAAUGCAAGUCUAUACUCAAUAGAUAUUUACAUGCCGCUCAUGACCGUGAGUAUGGCUAAUCGAUUAGUUUUUAUAACUCUGCAAAGUUUGGACAGCUUUACCCACAAGAUAUGAAUCGCUCUAGUUUGUCUGGUACCCGUCGGUACCACCACACUCUACACAUUGAGUGCGAUCUAGAGGUCACAACGAGGCUUUUACAUUAAGUAUUGUCUAACCUUGCAUGAGCACGAUAAGUGUGAAUCCAUCCUAGGCUUAAGUCCUAGAACCUUUAGGUGGCGGGCACACGCCUUAAAUCUAACGCUGUGGCGGCGAACACAUCCGUUCCCCCACGAGGCACGUUAUCGUUGUAUUGGACAGACUUAGACGCUCAUGUUGUGAGGUGGAACAGUACACUCGUCCCUUCACAGAAAUACACACAGCUAAUAAUAUUGGCUAGCUCUAAAAUUCAACACACACAUGGGUAGUUCCUAUAGGUAGCCCACGGUACACUCGUGGCCCCUACCUAUACUACAACGGCCUCCUGAAUACAAGGUUAGACAAGUGCUUAACUUAAUAGGCCAAGGUCUCCCCAUAAAAACAUAUAUGGAUGUACGGUAAACAUAAUGAACUGACAUCGAGUGAAAUCCUUAGAUCGGUUUGGGCACACUCUCCCCCUAUCGGUACACAACUAAUCACCAUAUGUGUACCACUUGAGGCCCAAACCUUAAAUCCAUGUUUUCCAUAAUUUUAUUUGUUAAAAACAUCAAUGAUCAAGUUCUGUUCAGAUUAUCAUAAAACCAUUUUUCAUGUUUGUAAUGAGCUCAUAAUGACAAGUAUUUCCAAUCUAAGCAUGGUAAGCAAUAUAGUGUCAUGGUGACAUCAAAACUCAUAUUUAAAGUGGUAUGGAUAUAAUAUUCCUAUGGUUAGGAGAGAGGGAUAUGGCUAUAUGUGGAGUUAUGGUGAUAAUGCAAGUAAUAGGUGUUUGUCUAACAAGUUUUACAAAUUUUAAUGGAUUAGUGUACAAUCGACAUGCAAGAUUUGCAAACAUUUUCAAUAACCUCCAAAAUAUAGGUUCAACUUGUUCAAAGAGAGAGGGAGGUGGGACUUGCCUUGUUACCGGGAAAUAUCAGCACCUAAUUCACUUCUUCACCGUUUAUGCAAUCAUCUAUAUAAAGUACACGUUAUGCAAUUAAACACCAAAAUAUGUGAAAAAUCCAAAAUGCUCUAAAAUGCAUGGUUUGUGCACAGUGAGUAGGUGCUGGUCUAAGGUGAAUUUAGGUGAAUUUCACUUUAUCUCACUCCAUUUGAGAGUUAUGAAUUUUAGAAGUUUGCUUCGAUAUAGUGUAGUAUUUACUUAGGUACUGCUAUGAAAUGCUUUUGUAAGGUGAUUUUUUUAUUAAGUUUGAGUUUGCUGAGGUGACGAUAUGUGUCUUCUAAGAUUAACACAAUUGGUUUCACAAUUUUUAGAGUUAAUAUGAAUUUCUAAUGUAUUUUGGAAGUUAUAACGUGUUGUAUGUUUAUAGUCCCUAUAUAUGCUUGAUCUAUAUGUUUCAUAUCCAGAACAUGUUAAUUUAUGAUUUGGCUAAGUAAAGUGAAUGAUUUUAUUAUUUAACCUACCUUUAAUUCACAAGAUUUAGGGCUUACAUUAUAUUUGUUUCAUAUAUGCUAACUAGAUGUGACUUAUGUUAGUAACUUGAUAUAUAUAUAUAUAUCAACUAUGGAUUAACUAUAUGAGUUAAGUGUGUUAAGUUUUGAUGAAAGGAAGUGGAACUUUAUCUUUUCUGGUCUAUUUAGCUUUAUUUGUUUUAUUUGAAGUUUGUAUGCAUUAUACAUAUAGAUUUGACUUAAUCAUUAGUAUGUGAUUACUAUCUACUUUACUAAUUCAAGGUUUAGAGAAGUUUUAAGUACAGAGGGUGCCACAUUUUAUUUUAUAUUAGGGAAGGGCACAUUUGAUGGUUCUAUAGAAGUUUGGUUCACUCCAUUUGGACUAAAGAUGAAAUUUCUACAAAUUUUACAAUUUGAACUGUACACUAGGUUCAUAUUUCCUUAUAUAAAUAUUUAGGGGCUAUUCAUGUACUGUAAGUGUGUAUUUUUAUUUUAUAACUUUAAAGUGCAUUAUUUGGUGAUUCUACAGAACUUGAGUUUACUAAAAAAUGAGUUAAAAUAAAUGUUAUAUGAAUUUCCAAAGUUCAGCUUGUCUAAAACUAGUUAUUUAGUAGAUAAUACUUUUAGAGGCUUUUAAUGCAAAGUAAGUAUGUCUUUUUAUUUUACUUUUGCAUAGAGAAUAUGUUGGUGAUUCUGUAGAAUUUGAUUUUACCGCAAAAUGAGUUAAAUUGGAUUUUAUAUGCAUUUUAUAAUUUCUUACUUGUUUUAUGUUUCCUUUUUCUUAGAUAAUAUUUAGUGGUAGAUCUUGUACUAUAAGUGCCACUUUUUAUGUUAUAACAUGAAAGUUCAUCAUUUUGUGAAUCCAUAGAAAUUGAUUUUAAGGAGUUAAGAUGAAUUUGUUAUGCAUUUUUGAAGUUUAUAGUAGUUUUCAACAAUUCAGCACAUGUUUAAUUCAGUUUUCGUUAAGAGUACUUCAUAUUCUUAUAUAAUUACGAGUAGGUCCUGCUACAGUGUUGUGUGUAUUGUAUCUUUGCAUUACAGACCCUAUAAUUUGUUAAAUUUUCAAAGUGAAGUCCUGAUUCCUUCUCUAUCGAUCCAGCAGUAGAGCCGCCAUGAGCGGCACCUCUGCUCGCCGGCGCCGGCGACAAACGGUGACUUGGUUGGGGGUGCGACCAAAAGACAAAAUGAAGAGAAUGUUACUGCGAUUCCAUUCCUCUACUUUUCUCGGUCGUUGGUGACCGGAGUUGCGCUAGCGGCGAGUCCGAGCGGAAGGUAUCUUUGGGUGACGGUGCAUGUGUGUCUACGGCCAUGUACUCGCUAAAUGCGUGCAUGCAUGUGAGUGCUAGAGGUUCAAGGGUUCUCACCGAGGGGCCUGACAAUGCUAGCAAAGCUUGGACGGCAGCAGCAGCUCGCGGGACGGCUUGGAGGCGAUGGAGAGCUUGGCGUCACGGCGAUGGCUCGAUCCACAGCAUGCAUGCCAAAAUCAUUUCAUGCAACAUGUGAAACACCAUCCCAGGUUGCUACUACUGCAAGCAAUCGACCAAUGGCUCACCGGUAAAGGCGGAGUCGGCCAUGGCAACGGCGGUGGGCGCCGAGGAAGAAGGGGUUUGAUCUCCCUCUCCGGUGCACCAUUAUCCGGGGUUCUUGAGGGUAAAUGGAGAGGAGGUCGUGGUGAUGAAGAUGGCGCGGUGGCUCGGCUUGGCUUGGUCCAGAGUGGUUGGAACGACGGCGAUGUCGUGCGGCGGCGCUCCGUGCGUGCUCCAGAGCUUCCAGGGGCGACGCCGCGUUUCCGCUGAUACAAGGGAUGAAACAAGAUGGAAUCAAAAGAGGGAAUGUUCGGCAUGGGAAGUAGAUUAGGGAACGAAAAAGGAAUUGAGACGACCGUGGCUUGUUGACGAACGCGUCCAUCAUCUUAUUCGCGGCUGGUAAGGGAGAUGAGGGAGAAAGGGAAGGUGGAGCUCGCUCCCUCUCGGUGUUCACGGCAUUGGAGUGAAGAGGAAAGCUGGGCGAUGCUGCUGAGGAAGGUGUAGGUGAGGAUCGGCGUUGUCACACAAGGGAGCACGCGUCGAGCAUGCAGGCGCAGCUCUCUUUCUCUCUCUCGUUCUCUCUCGGCUGCUGAGCGGUGGAAAGGGAGCGACAGAGGUGAAACUGGCUCCAGAGGCUGCCAAGUGGGCCCUGGUUGAUGGAACCAAGACAAGGGAGAGAGAGAUGGGUAUGAAACUAAGUGGAGAUGAGUUUUGGACGAAUUUCAGAAUUUUUCUCUCCUCCCCAAUUUGUUUAUUCAUAGUUUAAUGUGUGGAGUAGAUAAAUUAGAGUGGAUUUUUCUGGAGGUAGAUGUAUGUACCUAGUUUCUAUUUUCUUUGGUUGCACACAAAAAUUAUGUGUAGUUUGCUCACAGAAAAAUAGAGAAAAGAGGCUAUGUAGAAACUAGUUUGAAUUUUUAGGAGGUCUAAACAGAGGAUAAAAAUUCUGGAAAAAAAUAUAUUUAUUCAUUUUAAAUAAUCUAGCAUUUUAAUAACUUAUUUUACCUAUAUACUUCUAUGCAGUUUGGUGCAUAUUUUGAUGGGUUAGGAUUUUAGCUGAUUAAGGUUUAUAAUUAGCCUAUUAGUUGACUGCAUUGACUGAUUUAUUUGAGGUAUCAAAUUUAGUUAUUAAGUUGUACCAAAAUUAUAGUGAGUUGGAUAUAUUGAUUAGCACUUGCAAGAAUUUUUCCAUGAUUUUAUCUUGCAUGAUCUAUUCUUGAUAAUUUGCAAAGCUUAUCUUCAUAGGUAUGUUUACACUUUAUAAAUGCAUCUAAAUUAUUAUAAGGAUUAAUUAUGUUUGGUCUUCUCCUAACCUGAGGUGAUGUUAUUUGUCUUCAUUUUCAUGCCCCUAUAAUUAUUACACAUGAAUGUCUUUAGGUUUGCUUAGUUAAGUUAUCUUUUAUUCAUGUUCAUGAACCUAACAUGAAAUGAAAACCAAAAUCCAAAUUACAUAAAAAAAACUCAAGUCAAACUAACGCACUUAUGUAUAUGCAUGCACACAUUUAUGUUUGCACUCUUGUCUUAGGUUAUAAUUGAAAAGGUUUUAAUUUGUUCUCAAUUUUUAUUCAUGCAAGAGUUCGAUCAACUUCAUCUAGGUUUAAAAUAAAAAUUUUUGGUUCACAAAAUUAAAGAACUUUCCUUUCAACUAGUUUUGAAAAAAAUUCCUUAGCCCUAGAAUUCGGGUAUAUUACAAAAAUAAAAAACGAACAUUAGAAUAAGAAUGUAGAGUAAAAACAGUAAUUUAGAACUAAAUGAAAUUCGGAAUAAAAAUUAAAAUUUAAAAGUAUAGAAAUAUAAUUUAAAAUAACUAAAAUUAAAAAUUAAAUAUAAGGAAUUGGAAGAGAGGCGGUCCAUGUAAAAAUACAAUUUAGAAAUGACUAAAACUAAGAAUUAAAAAAAAUAUUGAACGGUCAAACAUGCGCUAAAAAGUCAACGGUGUCAAAUAAAACGACACGGAGGGAGUACAAUUUAGUAAUAACUAAAAUUCAAAAUUAAAAACAACUAAUAACUAUCACGUGUAUACAAUACUAUAUUACACAUUAGUUUGUUUGGUCAUAUUAGUACAAAAUUUAAAAUUAUAUAUUUAUAUUUUAACAAUAAAAUAUCAAUAUAUAUAUAUAUAUAUAUAUAUAUAUAUACCAGCUCUAGCCUAGGGCAGUGACUAGGGGUCUAGUCACCAGAUAUGAGGAUAGGUAUGCAGUAUCUAUAUGCAAUCUUGGAUGUGAGAUUAGUAUGUGACAAUUGGAUGGCAAUCCAGGUUGUUAAUUUUUUUUUAUAUUAUUAUGCAAACAUAAAUGCAGUACAGGAAAUAAAGACAAGCUGUAAAUACGAAUUAUAUACAAGAUAUAGAAUUAGAUAUUCAGAACAUAGUAGGUUUAUAUAGAACGGUCCAGGUGUUCAUUCAUAUACCUUGAUAGGUUGAAGGUAGAUCCUUCUGAAGAUUACACCAAGGACUUGGUACAACACGUUCGUAAUUAUACAGGUAUAGGACUCUCACAAGGACUCUUACAUAGACUCUCACACUUAGACUCUCAUGAGUCUUUUAUUUAGGUUAUACUAUAGUACUAACACUUAGAUGGAGUGGAGUGGAGUGUGAUGGCUGGUGGAGAGGUGAGAGGAAUGGUUGAGUGAGAUGUGUUGUGUGUGAAAUGCGAUGCCUGUGGAAUGUGAUGAUGAGCCCCUUAUAUAGCGCUCGGUAGAGAAUCUUUAUGAUAUCUCUUCUUGACCUCAAAGAGUUUAUGAUACCCCUUUAGACUUUAUGGAGAGAAUCUUUGGUGAUGACGCUUUAGACCUUUAAUAAAGAUGUCAUAAUAUCGCCUUUUGACUAUGGACUCAUCUUAUCUGGAAUAGUGUAGAUUCCUUAUCUUGAAUAGUGAUCUUUGUCGGGGAUGACAAGAUCUUUAUUCAUUAUCUUCGUUGAUUAUUAUGGGUGCUGAUUGCACCGUGUCGAUCUCUGACGGCUCUGUUUUCUGAAACCACUGAGCCAGGCUUCUGUAGUAACUUUUCUUGGAGCAUUCAUUUCCAAAAUCUGGUUUAAUUAUGCGCCCUGCUCCCUUGAAGUAUUCAUAACUUUGGUUGUAAUAUUUGCUAAUAAAAAUCCUUGUGAUAUUGUUUUGGAAAACCGGCUGAUAUUCAUAAUCUGUGGUGAUAGCUUCUUCAAUUUCUGCAGCUUCAGAAAAUAAUCUCCAAUUUUCAUGAUUAGCAAUUGUUGUAUAUAUUUCUUCCUCUUCAUCCGAUAGUUUGCUAGUACCGUCUUCUUGAAAAUUAAAUUGUCCAUUCAUGAUAUAUAUAUAAUGAAUUGCUGGACGAACAGGUGGUGUGAAUUUUGGUGGUAUGGAGGAGAAGAUAAUCCUGUAUCUUCCAUGUCCAAGUCUCCUGUAGACAUCUUUCACAGCGCUUCCUAAAUUAGAUUGAAGGAUCUGAUCGAGGGUUGCAUAGAUGGAAUUCACAAGACCAUGAUCUAUAAUGGUUUGGAGAGAUAUUUCUUCAUGGUUGUAUGUGGGUAGAUUCCAGAAUCUUUGGAUAUUUAUCUCAGCUUUGAGAACCAGGAAUCUAUAGGAUGGGUCAGAGAUUGCCUGGUCAUCUAGCCUUAAGAGAGGGAGCAUAUAUAUGAUUACUCUUAUGGCUGGGUUUCUUUCUCUUCCUUCUAAGAGAUCAAAGAAAUAAUCUUGGAGUCCAAGGAAUAUUUUCAUUUGUCUCUCCUUAAACUUUUGCCAAACAAGAUUGAAGAUGUCUUGCCCAAAGCAGGAUAAAGUUUGCUCCGUCUUGAAGCUUAAUCUAGGUUGGAGAUUUUCGUAUGUAGAACUCAUGGGAUUUUGGCUUUUAAGUUUCUUUUGGCAAGAAUCUUUGUAGGCACAAGAUCUACAUGGUGCUUUUGGCUGGGUCCGGAGUAUAUAUUGUGGAAGGAAUGAAUUGGGAUGAUUAUGCAGUAUGUAUAGUGUUUGGGGAAUGGUAUCAUGUCUUUUUGUGGAUGAUGAUGGUUUAUUAUGUGGAAAAGAUUGCAAUAGGUUAUUGAUAUUUAUGUGGAAAACAACCAUGCUCGAAUACCUUGGUAUUCUUAUCUGUUGCCAUAGAUUGUUCAACUUCCAUGGGAAGUUUAUCUUGGCCAUCACGGGAUUUCUCCUCGCGAUAAUCUAGUAACCUCUCCUCAUGAUGAGCGAUAUCUUGUAGUUUAGCCCUUUUUUCUGUUAUCUUUUGAUCUGAGGUCAUAAAGUUUUUGAAAUAAUAUGCUAGGCCAUUUAAGGCAUGAGCUUUUUCUUUUUUGUUUUUUGUCUGCCACAAGUGGUUUAAUAACCCUUGUUGUAGCUCUGUUACUCUGAAAUUGUGAUUAAAUCGUUCUUCAUGGCCUCUGGGCAGUUGGGGCAGUCUCCAUGAACUCAUAUUCGUGAACCAUUCAGACUUCUGUGAAGCCAUUUCCUUGCAUAUAUAUUCAAAAUUUUUAGUAGCUUUUAAUAAAUAUCUAUCUUCCCAUGAUGUCUUACCUGUCAAGUCCAUAGAUUUUGGAAGAUAUGAUGGGAAAGAAUUGUCAUGUAAAUAUAUUGUAUUCACAAUUUGUUCUCUUUUGGUCUGAACAAGCUGGUCAAGAAUCUCAUCUAUGUUAGACGAAAAUCUUAGGCUCACCUGCUUGCCCAUUAUCUCAAAUUGAAUAUCUUCGUUUGUGACAAGGAAGGGACGAAUGAGUGAUAAAAACGGUGUUCCUAAAAUAACAUCUUGCUUAAGAUUUUUAACGAGUAGAAAAGAUGUUUUAAUGCAAACUUCAGAUAUGCAAAUAUAGGUAUCAGGGAUUUGAUAUUCUACUGUUAAAAGUCCUCCAUCUGCCCCACGAAUUCUGUGGGCGGCUUUACGGAAAUAUUUAUGAGGGAUAAUACCUUCUCGAAUGCAAUUGACAUCAGCACCAGAAUCAAUUAAAGUGAUAUGUUGAAAGUAGGAUCCGUCUAUAAAACGAUACAUAACUUCUGUGUACCAUUUUUGCUUCAUUUAUUUUUGAAUGGUUCCAACAACCUGAUCAUCUUCUUGAAUUGGUUCGUCCUUUUCUUCCAUAUGGAAUCCCUCUUUUAAUUCUAACAUGUAUAGACGCUUUCUUAUUUCUUCUAAAUCUUGUUUCAUAAUUUUUUGUUCUUCGAAUAGGCUGAUCAAAUCUGGUUUCUCAUUCUUCUUUUUCUGUUCAUCUAAUCUUUUGAACACUUCAUCAAUAGAGAGGAAUUUGCUCUUUUGAAUAUCCUUUUUUAGUUUAUCCUUAUCAGUCUUGACUCUUGAAAGGAAUUUUUCGAGAACUCUUCUUUUUUCUUCUGGAUCUUGAAUGGUUUGAAAAGUAUCGAGAACAAAUUCUUCUAAACUGGUUAGAACGAGUAUAUUUUCAUCAGACUCUUCUUCUGAAUUAUCUGGCUCAUAACAAGAGCAACCACUGUCUUGGCAGCAAUUAAUCUCUGCAUUUUUUUCUUCAUCUGAACUUGAGUCAUUGUCUAUAUUAUUUAGUAUUGCUUCAAGUUUAUCUUUAACAUCUUCUGAUUCUGAAUCUAACAAGGCUUGGAUCUCUUUUUUAACUUUAGAUUUGAAACAUCUGUUAGCUAUGUGUCCUUUCAAGCCACAUUUGUAACAAAUGGUUUCUUUGCUUUCAGUGUCUUUUGUUCUUAUAUUCUUAUUGUAAAUUCUUUUUGGUUUUCUUUUGGUAGCUUGAAAGCUCAUCUUGCUUUUAUCAUUUGAUUUUGUCAUUGGUUUGGAAUGGGUUUUUCUUUUUCUAUGGACAUAAGGAUCUUGAAAACCAAACUGAUAGCAAAAAUCUCCCAUUUCUCUUUUACCAAGAAUCCUUUGUUUUUUGAGUUGAUCUUUGAUUUUUAGGUCAUUGCAAAGCUCAGCCCCCACCAAUUGUAUCUUUUGUGUGAUUUUUCCAAUAUCUAGAUAGUGAUAAUUUAUACUCCCUCCCCCUUCUUUUCUUAGGGAAUUUCUAACCUUUUCAGCAAAUAAAGGAGGUAAACCAGAAAUAUAUUUUUCUUUAUUUCCAUUAGCUAUGCAGGCAUUAGCAUACAUAAUCAUUUGAUGACAUAAAGUAAAGAUUUGAUAUUCAGUAAAGCCAUCUAAGUUCCAUUCUACAAUUUCUUUGCCAUUGUAGUAAGUCAUAUUUUGAAUCUGAGGCAUUUCCUCAAACUGUAGGUCUGCAUAAGUUGGUCGAGGGUAAUAAUUCCUAGUUGUGGAAGUAAGAGUAGAAGGUUUAAAAAUCUUAUUGACCAUAUCAUAUUUUUCAUUAUCAGAAAUCUCAUUGAUAUUUUUAUUUACUUUUAAAUUAUUUAGUUUUAAGGCUAGCUCACUGACUAGUUCUUCAGAAAUUGCGGGUCCAAAAGCCUUUUGUUUUCAAAGUUUGAUGUUAGGAUCAAUUGUUGGGACAAACAUAGGACUAACAGACUGAGAACUAGAAGACUGAGAAUUAGAGGGAAUAUUUAUCUUUACCUCAGGUCUUCCUGUUUUGUAGCCUUCCAUAAGGAUUGUCUCUAUUCGAUCUGUUUGUUGACCAAGAGAACGUAGAGAUAUAUUUGCAUAAUUUUGUUGUUCUACCAAAUGUCCUAUGUGUUCAACCUUUGCUGUUUCUCCAUAUGUAUUUUUAGAAAUACUUUUUAGUGGACAAGCUUUUCCUCCAUUAUGAGAUAAUUGAAUGGAUUCAAAUGGAGGAUGAACAGAGUCUACCUUGUUUCCACUGGUUGUCUCCCAUUCUGUAGAAACCUUCUUGAUAACAGUUAAAUCUUCUGCUUCGGAUUUUUGCUCUUUUUUCAUCAUGUUUUUUUCUUUGAAGAAUUCUUCGAAGUGUCUGACUUGGCUACUUUCAUUCCAAUCAAAGAAAAAGAUGUUCUUCCUUUGUUCUCUCAUUUCUUUGUGCCAAAGUUCUCUUAUCUUUAGUCUAAAUGGUUCAUCGACCCUUUCAAAGUAUCUUUUCAUCUUGGGUCGGUUCUUUUGAAGCCUGAGUUCUUUUUUAAGCAAAUCUUUAUCAAUUUCAAACUCAUCCUCUUCUAUGGCAAUAACAAAGCCAACAUCAAGCUCGAUAACAUUGAUAUCGAAGUCUGAGAUUGAAGGUUCGUCGGAGUUGUCUUCAUAGGUAGCAUAGACAACAUUUUGAGGUUUUGUCCUAGGCCUAGAAUCUAGACUGACAGAAGGUCUAGACUGGAGAAAGGCUUUUUGUUUUGAAGCAAAUGUUAUCUCAACAUCUCCGUCUGGUGUUUCAAUCAAGGAUUCGACUUCCGAUUGAUCCAUAGACUUAGGUUCAACAGCUUGAGAUAAAACCCAUUUCUCUGGCAGGGUGAUCUCAUCCCAUUUUAGGGUUUUGGGGGUAGUACAUCUAUUAUUAGGAUUGGUUUGAAGGAGAGUGGUUAGGCCUUUUGGUGUAUAAUGUUUGGCACAAGGUGCUAAAGUUGUCAUGGCUUUGUAGUAAACUCUGUAGGUAACGGAGAUGUUUUCACUCCCUGGUUCUAGUUCAUAACCAGAUGUUUGUAAGUUGAGAGUGAGAACUUUAUGGAUAUUUGUGUCUGAGAGGGAUACAGAAAAAUCAGGAAAGGUGUUAAAAUAAACAGGACCAUUACUGAGGCUGGCUUCCACCAUGCCAAGUAAGGAAUCUUUGAACCUUUUAUUUCUGCAAUCUCUUAGACAAGCCAGAACAGAGACGUUCAAACCCUUUCUAGUCAAGGAUCUGAUAGCAACUUGUAUAAGACCAAAGUGAAGGUAGUGAUAUUGAUGUUUAGCUCUUAUAGAAUUGAUUUCUCUUUCUGAAAGAAGAUGUAGGGUUUCGUGCAAAGAACUAAUUGGAAUAGUUUUUUCAAUUGUUUUAAUAUAGUAGUCACUAAGUAAUGAAAAAGUACCUACAUGAUAUAUUUCCUUAAUAUUAACCUUAGGAAUCUUCCAGUUGGAAAUACUUUUCUCAAUAUCCUCAAAAGAUAUAGAUGAAGCAUUCUUUACCGACAUAGUGCCAGCAGACUUCUCGCUACUGCACAAGGCUACAGAUCGAUCAGUGGCUCUUCGUGAUCUAACCAACCAAGACAUCUUAUACGAAAGAUAGGAAGAUAGGUAGGUAGUUACCAGACAACGGCGGGGAAAUCUCCCACAAUUAUGAUCAACCUAUUUGGAUAUGAUGUGUUCCAGUCAACGGCAGGGAAUAUUUCCCACAAUUAAGUUCAACCUUUGCCUUUGAUAAGUGCCCAGUCAACGAAUUACGCCGACAAACGCCUUCUGCGGCUCAACAAGGCAACGCGACUUCAGGCAACCGAUCAAAGGUUCGGGAACUCCGCGACUUCAGAACACCACAACACCGUUCGGGAUCACCGCGACUUCAGCACGCUACCCGACCCCUCUCCCCCCCCCUUUCGGAGAAGAUGGCUUGGGGAGGUUAUAUAUAUAUAUAUAUAUAUAUAUAUAUAUAUAUAUAUAUAUAUAUAUAUAUAUAUGUGUGUGUGUGUGUGUGUGUGUGUGAGAAAAAAAUAUAAUAAUGCUAGCCGCGCAAUCUGCGCGGGCCACCAUGCUAGUUUGUGUAAAGUGAUAUAUCUAUAUGAGGGGCAGAUAUAGCAUGUAAGCAUGAUUAGAUUAACUAAAUAUAUUAAAACAUCAAUAUCAGGUAAGAUCGGCUGAAACCUCGAUUCUACCCUUAUUGGCAAUCAAAAGGCAGGCUAGAGCUAGAGAUUCAAAUCACAACUUGGUAGAUCAAACUUAACUCAUGCAGCACUAAGUAUGAAAACAAGCAAUAUAUCUAGACAAUCAAGCCCCUGACUGAUUUUCAUGGUGGUAGAUAUCUUAGCUAAUCUAAUCAACAGAAUGAUUUAGCCGAUACUGGCAUAACCCUAGAAAAGAUCUGGUCGAUAUAGAUAAAUUGAACCAUUGAUAUAGAUUAACUAAGAUAUAUGAUAAACAAUGAUUAUAUUAACAAGAUUAACAUAUCUAAAACGAUAUAAUAACCUCAAUAAUGCAAACCACUGUGACAAGCAUUACCUCUUGUGAGGAGAUCGAAACCAAUGCUCUAACUUGAAGAAAGAACUCGUCGAAAAUAACUAAAUAAAAAGGUGGCGAUGCGCCGAGAGUGUAUUGAACGGUUGUUGUUUUCUUAUAUGGUUCUUGGGAUAUAUUUAUACCCAUAGUACAAACUUGUCCAUGAUGGACAUGACUCAAACUUUCCUAAGUCACAGAAACACACAAACAAGUCCUUACGGCGGACUCUUGCAAAAUCUCUAAGAAACCGACAUUAAUAUUCCUAAUUAUUAGAUACAAUUGCCUAUAAUGGACUGUAUCCUUGCACGGCAAUGCUUUGCAAUCCAAUCCGGGCCCAUUGCGAACCCAAACACACCUGUAUCGGCUACUCUAUCCAUAUCGGCUUAGUUAAGUCCGACUCUGUUCUAGCCGAUGCACAACCGAAAUUUGGAAACAACUACUUCUCCCUCAAAAUCCACCUCGAUCUGUUCUUCGACUCCGAGUAUCUCUCCAAUUUCGCUGUUAAUAGGUUGGUAAAUCAUUUAUGAGUUUAUUUACUCAGAUUUUACACCACAUAUGAUAUAUAUUUCCAGGUGUGGUGAAACCAUCUGUCUUUUAGGGACUUAAGCAUAUUUGUUAAAGCAGUGCGCGCAUGGUGUGUGCUCGAUACUUUGGAAAUUUCUUUAUUCACAACAUACAAGCUUCUUUAUAGAUGUUUUGUUAUUUGAAUUUUCAAAGAUGUAGUCAACUUUAGGUUGCUCGCGUCAUAUUUUAUAAAGAAGUCGGUUUUAUCACUUGAGUCUUGUUUACUCGGGGGUUUAUAAUGCAUAUGCUAUUAUUAUGCUACUUAGGUGGCUUAAAACCACUCAGUUGGUUGAUUUAUUCAUUAUCUGACUAUAUAUUUAGUUUGUUCAACUAACCACAUAGGCGGAGGCUACACCUAUUAGGUGCAUCUAGUCGAUGCACCUGGGUAUAUAUUUAAUUGUUUUUUAUUCUUUUCAGCCUUUCACAACCUUCUGAAUAGAUAAAAGCACUCGGGAGACUAUGGCAAAGAUGAUAGAAACACACGGCUUUGGAGUAAUCUAGCUCGGGAGAAAAUUAUGUUUUCGACUGUGAAAGUCUCACGGGCUAAUAUGGAGAUUAUGGGUACCAUAUACCUACAUGGCUGGCUUAUCCGACUGGAUAUAGGGAAUAUGUUAUAUCUAUGAAAUAUGUAACGGACCAUGAUUUGGGUAUUACGUUUUCUUGUGUCUUAAGGAAUGGCCUAAAGUUUUGAUUCGGUAAUAUUAUAAAGUAGAUUAAGUAAACUGAUGCCGUAUCCGGCUAGGUUCCUCUCUUGGUAACCCUGCCCCUCAACCUAUAUAAGGUGGGCAGGGAGCCCUCCAAGGGCUUAGCCACAAUUAGAUCGUCAGAUCAAUAUACACCCGGUGGAUUCAAAUCUCCAAACAGGAAUAGGGUAUUACCUCUCAUUGAGAGGGUCUGAACCUGUCUAAAUUCUUGUCUUCGCAUCCAUCCACUUUUAGGUAUCGUACGCUACCCCCUUUUAUUAUUGUCAAUUUCCAGUUUCGACAACUUUUCAACCAUGUUUUCUAUUUUAUCUUAGUUUCGUCCAUCUUUGUCGGUUUGCGCUGUAAACCGUCUAUCCUCGCCACGAGAGUGCGAUUAUCCUUUUGUAGGUUUGUCCCGUAAACCUUUCGUUUGCCCACGAAACGAGUAGUUUUACUUAUAUCGAUCUAAAUCAACCUAGAGGCUUAUUUUGAUCUCUAGAUCUGCUUUGCUAGCCGGUUUAGCUUUUUUUACAAAACCUAUCUUGAUUUAGCUUUUGCGAGGUUGAGAUGGUUGGCGACUCCAUAUCACCGCAAGUCGUUUAAGUGUGUCGAUCGGAUUUUGCGACUUUGCCAAAAGGGUUGCCAACAGGAUUAUUACUAAGGGCUAUCAAGAGGGCAACUAGGAGAAAUAACCUUCAGGAGGCUACUUGUAUUGGUUUCUCUUCAUCUAGCUGUGAACAUUCAAACAAGUUCCAGCUUAAAAAAGUCAUUCACAUAGAAGGGAAGAUACCGUGCUGUAUUGUUUGAGGAUGGGAACAGUGUGGCCGUGCGGGAGAACGACUCUGAGUAUCUGACUGCCAUUUCUAUUGCUGAAAAUUUUAAUGAAUCAGGGGUACAAUGGUAACCUCAAAAUUCCUAAAUCAUUUUUUCCUUUUCUUUUCUAUUUGUUUAACUUGGUAUUGUGGGAUCCACUAACCAUCUAAAAAAAUUCCCAUUAUCUUAAAAAAAAAACUGUCAUCCAUAAGAGGGACAAACGAUGGUUUCAUUUGAAAAUAUCAUGGGUAAAUCCUUAAACCUAAAAAAUAAGAGCAAAAUCAAAAACAAAAUUAAAAAUAAAAAUUGGGGUACGAACACAAUUCGUUCCACAUGACACCAAAGAUCAGACUGCACAUAUAUUGCUUAACCAAUCAAACGAAUGCAAUUGUUUAAUAUUGUUUGUUGCUGUGCUUUUUAAUUUAUUCGAGCAAGUCCUUCAUUUGUUCAAUCUGUUUAGACUCUGCUGAAAAUUGUCGGCAUGCGCAUUUAUCACUCAAGGUAUAAAGGAAGACGUGCGGUAGAGAGGCACGCGUUUUCUUUUAACACAUGGAGAUGUAAAUUCUCUGGGGAGGCUUACGGAUCGGGCGCCCGAUCUGGGAGCCAAAAAAAUCGGGCGCCCGUCCGAGCCGUCCGAUCCAGCGCCCCUAAUCUCGUCCGUCCGCGCGCAUUAAACAGGAGCACGACACAUUAGCAUGACGUCAGCAGCUUGGAUGCAUGUAAAACUACUCUAAACUAUUUUUUCUCUUAAAUUAUUUAUCCAAAUCAUGAUCCGAUUGCACCAUUAAAUGUGUUGCAAUUAAAUCUUUAAAACAAGACCACACAUGGAUAUAUUCCGAUGAAAAAAAAAACUUAUUAUUGAGUUAUUUUUAAAUGUUGCACGCUAUUUCACCAAGUAUAUCGGAAUUGUUUCACUGAGUAGAUCGAAAAUGUUCAAACCACCACGUCGACAGCAGCUAGAUAGGCUACUCCAAAUAUUGUACUGGUGCGAUUAUGAUGAAUAAGAGUAACGACCGGCUUUGGCUAACAGGAUCCGAACCUGUAUAAAAAUCCUCGUCCCCAUCUCUUUUACCUCAGUCUCGCAUAUAUCCUAGUACCAACGAUCCCCAUACUAUGCAAAUACCGGAAUCGCGACAUCAAACGUCGACAGUGGCGCGCUAGGUAGGGGGUUUUGGUGCUUUAGGAUUCCGACGAGAUGUGUUCAAAAGAUGGAUUCUUCAACAAGAAGCUACUCGUUGACUUCGGACCAGAAAGAUCCAACCCAGCCAGAAUACGUCUCCCGAUGAGAUUGGAAUCAUCUUCAUCAGCUAUUUGAUUCGGCGAGAUCAAUCAAGCUUAAGAUGUCGCUGCCGCGGAGGACAUGCGUCUGUUCGGUAUUUCCGACCAUUUGACGAUCGCGAGGAUGUUGCCGAAAUAAUACAACACGCCGACACCUCGAGGGACCGAAACCGACUACUACGCUGAUCGACUUUACGCGUGGCCUGGUCGGACUCGGGGUGACAGGCCGGAUACACCGUUGUCCAAGAUCGCCACGUAUUGCUGCUCCCGACAUGUGCACAUGCAUAUGCAGACUCAACUAGGUUGUAUCCCCGCGGCACUGUUAUAAGUAUAAUGAGAAAUAAACACGUAAAUAAAAGAAAAAGGUAUGUUGACAAAAGAAGAACCGUAUGGAGACAACCUAAACAUUACCAUGCAAGAGUAACAAAGUUAUAUGUGCCUAAAUAUUAGUGUUAGCAUAUUAGCCCAAUUAACUGUAUAGCACACGCCAAAAAUAUUUGUAGUUGACAGAAAUUGCGAAAGCUGGACGCUAUACAGCAUCAACCCAUCAUAGGCAUAAGAACAUUGACAUCAGGCCAAGUGGGCGCGUGAUGUUGGAGCGUAUACAACAUAAUCAUAUAUUAUGCAUAGUGCAUUGCAUAGAAAAGUUUGCGUAAUAGCAAACAUAUAAAAAGCUAUAGCAAAUGAUAGUAAAUGGCAACAGUUAAAGCACAAACCUCGGUGAAGCUCAGAAAUAACCCAAGCAAAGGAGGCACAUUCAGCUGUGUCGACCUUGGUGUAGAUUCUGAUCUCUAUGUUAAUGUUGGCACUGCUGAUAGCAGCAUUCGUAAAUCACAGUAAUCAGCAAAUUCAGGGAGAGUAAGCAACUUGGGAAAACACGCAAGGAGGAUCCUUGUACUGAUUGGGAGAUUUGGGCGCGGACCUUUCUGCGGCCAGGGAAGAUCGUCGAGGGGAAUAGAUAAGUACAGAAACAUCAUGCCAAGUCAGUCUUAGAUCUGAAACUUCCACUCAAGAAUUUUUAUCUUUCCCUCAUUUAAACCAAAUCUUGAUUCCUGAAGAAACAAACAAACAAAGAAUGUCAUUCCAUCCACAGAGAAAUCAAAAGACAAAAAUAUUUCUAAUCACACCAGGUCGCCAACUGACAAAGCGAAGCAUGAUAAAUACCAAAUACAGUGUAGAACGGGAAUCAACAAUGACAAAUAAUUUCAUAUAAGCUACUAAUGUAUUGAUAGGAAUUCAAUAAAUAAUAUGGCUGAUUCUAAAGAUUAGCUUUCCGUUUGCAAUGUAGACCACUGACUUUCUUAUAUGUAGACCUAACAAAUACAUAAGUACAUGAUUUCUCCGUGCAAACAGUAUAAAUUUAAGAAGAGAUUAUGUACAGUAUGCUGAGCUGUAUUACAUCUUGCAAUUAUCACAUAAUUAGUUCAAGAUAUCAUUCGUCUCAGCACACAAAUUGCGAUAAUAUUGGACUGCACUCGGGCACGAUGUUCAGACUAUGCACUCACCCAAAACCAACUGGUUCUUGUUACUAUUCUCAGCCAUUGAUGUAUGGUCUGACCUAUAGAUGGAUGUGGGAAAGCAUGACCAAUUCAUCAGACAGCAAGGAAGGAAUGAAGGGAAGACAUGGAGAGCAGGAGCAUACAUAGCCUAAGUCAUAGAAGCUAAAAAGCAUGACAACAAUUGUAAGAACCUAUCGGCAUGACCGCUAAACUAAAUUAAGACACAUUACAAUAUUAGCAUAUGCAAUCAGCACAUUGCAAUGAUCCUCGUGAGACAGCACUGGAUGAUUUGUAUUUUAAACCUUUAUUGAUAGUCUAGUUUAAAUGGCUCAACAAAGGUCAUUCCAAUUAGCUAGUUUGUUCCAUGCAUUACUCAGCGUAAAAAGGAUAAUUAUAUUUUGUUAGUGCUUUCCUUUUUGUUGUCAGUUCUUUAUGUCAGCUCUACCAAUGAUAGUAACAGUAACCGUGCAUCACACAAAUCAGCAAUGGUAGUGAAAUGAGUAAAUAGUCCGGCAGAGCAUAGCCACACGCAAGGCGGAUCGAGGGGCAUUACCUUGUAGUGACUGGGCGCUUCGGUCGGAGCAUGAGGUUGCAGGGGCUGAGCGGCUUGUCACAUAAUCGUCGAGCGAGCUUCAGGGGGUGACGGCGGCGGCGACAGCGGCGGUGGGAGGCAAUGGUAGAACUUCAGGGGCACAGGGAAGGAUUUUCGAUAGGCUUUGAUGAGCAGGGGAACAGUUUGGUGAGGUGGUGGGGAAUAGACCUCAAAUCGGCGGCGGCGGCGGCGGCGGUGGCGAGCCAAGAUUUACAUCGGCGGCGACGGCGGCGGUGGCAGCGACAUGGAUCUCCUACCGUCCUCCAGCAGCCAGAUGAUAGCACGGGCGUUACCGGCGGCGUGGUUCUAAAGGGACGGGAAAGAACGAUGGAGCAGACAAAAGACCUAAGGCUCGUCGUGCAUCGGACGGCCAGAAACAUGCAUGGGCUGAUCCAAUGGCCAGCAAGCACAUGAACAGGGCAACAGUAGCGUGGUUGCGUGGCAACAGAAGCAACACAGCAGCCGUACCUCACCAAAAACGCCCAAGCAUGCACUGGUUUGCCGUCUUAUACAUGCACAGAAGACAAUUCAACGGUUACCAAGGAUAAUUAUGAUAAUUAGUGGAUUAAUUAAUUUAAUUAAUCUACCAAUUCCGUAGAUACAUCCAGCAUGUAUCUACAAAGGUACGCAAUAAUUUAUAUACAAUUUACCGUACUUAUUUUUCAGAUCAUACGAUAUUAUCAUAUAUAUGAUUUAUUAUGUUUACCUAGAGCAUGUUUUUUAUACAAUAUCUAUUAUGUGAGCACUCCCUAUAUUAGGCCUACAACGGUUUAAUACUGGGGGCUCGCUUUAUUUUCUUCAGUAUAAAUCAUGCUUAUUUACGGUUUACAUAAUGCCUGAUAUUUCAUCUGCUCGUUAUAUCCUGAUAAUACUAGAAGAUCCAUGCAGUUUUUUGAGUACAUGUUCGAUAUUCUCUGCUAUAUGUCUUGCCUUCUAGAAAAUAUUUUUCAGGAACAACUGAGCACUCGAGUAGGUUGUGGUCGAGCACUGUUGAUGAAAAAAAUCGAACACACCAGCCUGGGAGAUCUGCUUAGCUUUAGUGCAGGUCCAAAGGUUGAUGGGAUACGGGCGUACCAGUCAGUUUGAUCCUGCAACUGACAAGAUAUGCAAAUAAUAGAUCAAAACAGCAGAUCGGCUUACAAGCCGAUGAAGUAGUUCCAGCCGAUAGCUGAUAAUAGCCGAUGCCGAUACCAGCCGAUAGCGAUAGGGUUUAAGCAAUCGGCUAUAUGUCCAAUGUAGAUAAUGAUAUAAAGGUGAUCGGCUGAUGAUGAUAAAUAACAAUAAUAUAUCAACAUAAUCCAGUAGAAACCAAUCGGCUAACAAUAUGAUGUAAUAGAACAAAUACUGAUCCGAAGGGUAAAUAAUACAUCGGCUGGAGGUCCGAUGUCAUAAAAACCACAGGAUUAGAUAAAUCAAUGAAACCUUUGUUGUCAUUGGCUAAAUCCAACUUAUAUAUACAAUCCUUAUAAGCCGAUGCAACGUCCAGAUAAUUCAUCGGCUAAAACCUCGAUGAAACCCUUAUUGGCAGUCAACAAGCAAGCUAGAGAUUAUGGUUCUAAGCACGACUUAGUAGAUCAAACCUAACUGAUGCAGCACUAAGUAUGAAAAGAAACAUAAUAUCUAGACAAUCAAGCCGUUGACUGAGUUUUCAGGGUGGUAGAUGUCUAAGCUAAUCUAAUCUAGCAACAUGAUUUAGCCGAUACCGGCAGAAACCCUAAAACGAGAAGCAGCCGAUAGAGCUAAAUUGAUAUGCUAAGACUAGAUUAACAGAGACAUAUGAUAAAUAGGUAGGCAAAUAUAUCAUCCAAACCAGAGCAAUCCAAGAGGUCGAAUGUACUGAUUCAGCCUUGAACGACGCCGACGUAAACGAUACAAUUGUCUGGGCCAGUGGAACAUUGGACUUACCCCUUAGCCGGAGAUCGAACACCGAUGCAGCCCCGCGUCAGGUGCCAAGUCCCGCCGGACGAUAAAAUAAAGUAGAAAAGGUAAAAGGUGGCGAUGCGCCGAAUUGUAUUGAUCGUGAAGAUAGAUUACAUAGACCUCGGGUAUACAUAUUUAUACCCAUGGGUUGAUACAAGUCCUUGUCGGACAAGAAAGAAACCUUCCUAAAGAUAAAAGGAAAAGAUAAAGUCCUUAUAGGACACUAAACACACUUUCCUAAAGAUAAAAGGAAACUAACAAACUAUUCCUAAUUAAUAGAUAACUUGCCAUGCCGCAUUCUCUUUGAACUCGGUCUCUUCUGGAUAAGCUUCCUUUAGUAGAUCAAUUUCCUUAACCGAAUAUAGCAAGAAUCCGACAACUGACGACUUGACAACUCUCAUCGGCUAAUCUCAGAUCUUCGAAGCCGAUGCUGACUCUAAGCCGAUGACUACUCCGGGCUUACCAAAUUUCACUGUUAACAAGCACACUCCAUUAUCGAGAACAUACUAGACAAAUGCAGAGUUGUCGCGCCCAACCUACCAACGAAGACCGACGACCUAUCUCAUAGCACUGGCCAUGGCUGGACUACUCGAGAAAAGGUUGUUAACGGAUAAUUGCUCGCGAACGAUGUCGGCUUGAUCACCCAACAUUAUUGCGGACAGGACAUCCAGAUAUGCUACGGGUUGGGUAUGUGAGUCAUGCUGGCCACAUGAGAUGCACAUGUAAUAAACCAACUCUAGCACCUCCAUUGGUGUUCGAGAGAUAAUUCUACUCGCUGGUUCUUGAACCAGUACAUGGAAGUAAUCUCUCACACCGCAACUUCCAUUGGUGUUCGAGAGAUAAUUCUACUCGCUCGCUGGUUCUCGAACCAGUACAUCGUAGUAAUCUCUCACACCGCAACUUCCAUUGGUGUUCGAGAGAUAAUUCUACUCGCUCGCUGGUUCUUAAACCAGUAUACCGUAGUAAUCUCUCACACCACAACUUCCAUUGGUGUUCGAGAGAUAAUUCUACUCGCUCGCUGGUUCUCGAACCAGUACAUCAUAGUAAUCUCUCACACCGCAACUUUCAUUGGUGUUCGAGAGAUAAUUCUACUCGCUGGUUCUCGAACCGGUAAAUUGUAGCAAUCUCUCGCGCCUUAACUUCAGUCGGUCGAGGUACGAUUAUGGCGAUAGCGUAGCGGUCCUCGCACCACGACUUCUGAUGGUCGAGAUAUGACUACGGCAAUAGCGUAGCGGUCCUCGCACCCCGACUUCAGACGACUUCAGAUGGUUGAGGAAUAGCUACGACUGAACUUCGACCGGCAGCGUAGCGGUUCUCGUACCACAACUCCAAAUGGUCGAGAGACACCUACUCGCUGGUUCUCAACCAGUCAAUCGUAGUGAUCUCUCGUACAUUUACUUCUAGUGGUCGAGUUACGAUUACCACCUGGUUCUCGACCAGCGGUGUAGCCAUUCUCCCACUAUUUCUACUUCAAGUGGUUGAGUUACGACUACUACCUGGUCCUCAACCAGAGGUGUAGCGAUUCUCCCACUACCUCUACUUCAACAAAGUUGAUAUCAGGUACACAAUAUCGCCAAGUGUUUUACCCAGAGAUCCCUUACCACGACGACACCUAGAGUUGAAACCUAUCCUUAUAUCCCUUUACGCCGUCCUGACAAGGCCUCUGAGUAACCUAAGGGAACUUCGGCUGAGGACGCCCAGAGCGGAUAAGGCCUUGUUGGAUCAUGUAGAGACAAACGAUCAUGUAAGACCUGGUCAUGUAAGAGUUCUCGCCGUGCGUAUUAACCAAGCCGUGUGAUCGGAAAUUGAGUUUUCCAACUUCACGGCUGGGGGCUAGGAUCAGUGCUUUUUCAACUAAGGCAGGUCAUGGGUCCAAGAGCCUUAUCCUCCGAGAACGAUUCUCCGACGACAAGGCUAGGGUUUAGGGAGAGUGUAUGAGUCAACAAACUGACUGAUCGAAGUCGGUAAGAGAGAAGACGCUCAUGUACAAAACAUUGGUCUGUACAUUUAAUUUACUUUCAGUUUUCCAUACAUAUUAUAACAUGUCACCCUUUGAGCGUUCGCUCAGGGGCUAUUUCUAUAUAAUAUUCUUUUAUGAGUAUUGAUUUCAGGAAAAUUCUAUUCGACAUUGUGGAAGACUCCAUGUCUCUAUGGUUCUACACCAAGAUCGACUAAGGCGAGCACGACAAAUGUUGACAAGGCUCCGUCGCAGGCUCUGCGCCUUCUCGAUCACUCGAGAACGGUUGGUGGAUCUCGACAAGGAAUACGGAAUGAAGAAAUGGUGUACCUGCCGAGAUAAAAUUUCUUGACUUCAAUCCAAAUUCUCGAUUACAGCAAGACGGGAGACUUAGUCGUAUGCUCUGUACUUUCUUAGUUGACGUCGGAGAUUGACUCAGACAAACCCUAUAGGUGCCCGCACGAGGCUGAUAUGGGAAGUCUAACGUUAUCUCUGAACUCACCGAGAACGGUCAUGUGAGCACGAUAACAGUUACUCCAAGGUCUGCGGUUGAGAAUAUGAAUUUGUUCAUUUGCAUUGAAGUCGGGGGCUACUAUCGGGGUUAUGGAUACCACAUACCUACUAGUAGUUGACUAAAUCUCGACAGGAUCCACCACAUACCAUGUCUUAUACAGAAACUGACUUCGGAUAUGGAGGGAGUUCUGGAUAAGGAAAGACAACCAGAGUUCUACAUGGAAAUGACAAAGACUACUCGGAUUGUAUCCAUAUUGGUUUCCCUGGUUCUACUCGGACAAGGGGACAUCUAUGGUUAUAAAUACAAGGCCCCCCAGGAGGAGAGGGGGGACAAUAAGAGCUACAACAUACAAGCCAAUAUACGCCAAGACAAGACGUCGGAUAUCGACUUCAGGGAAAAGCACGGCUAGUCCCCUACGGUGUCUCCGGAUACUGUCAGGAGAGACGAAAGCGCUAUUUCUGAUCUCGCCGGGCACGGAUUCGAGGAGGAAGACCACCCUGUUCUCGACUACGUGACGAUACUUCAAACCACCACGUCGACAGCAGCUAGAUAGGCUACUCCAAAUAUUGUACUGGUGUGAUUAUGAUGAAUAAGAGCAACGACCGACUUCGCCUAACAGGAUGUAGGGCUAUUACCUGACUGUUCAGGGGCCCGAACCUGUAUAAAAAUCCUCGUCCCCAUCUCUUUUACCUCAGUCUCAUAUAUAUCCUAGUACCAACGAUCCCCAUACUAUGCAAAUACCGGAAUCGCAACAUCAAACGUCGACAGAAACAUUUUUUUAGUGGAACAAAAAAAUGAAAUGGAUUCCCUUAAUAGAGGGUUUCCAUAUAUUUGUUGCAACGACGCAUUCCAUAAUAUCAAAAUUCACUGCAACAUUUGAUCCGUACAUAGUGAAACAUUACGAGUAUACUAGCUGAAACAUCGUAAAACUACUAGUUGAAACAUCAAAAAGACCAUAUGCAAUAUUCAAAAAAUAUCAAUAAAAAGAGCUAAAAUAUUUUUCGUCGAAAUAUAAUCAUGUGUGGUCUUGUUGUAAAGAUUUAAUUGCAACGAAUAGAAAUGUAUGAUCGGAUCGUAGAUUGGAUAAUUAAUUUAGAAGAAAAAACAUUUUGAAAUUUUUUUAAAACCACACCUUCCUGCCGAGCAGGGGAGGGAGCUCCGGAUUUUUCUCCCUCUCCCGGGCGACCAAGCAGGAGGGUUUUCGAAAUUCUCUUGUCACGAACUUUGUCGCAAACUGAGCUUUACACAGUUCAUUAGUGGACUCUGUCUACCGGUUUCGAGUCUUCAACUCAGCAUGGUGUUUAUAUUUAUAACUAUUUAUUCUUUACGCGGUAGGAUAAUGAGGCAUCUUUGGUUUGUUCAAUGAGUUUUUUUAAAGUAAAUUCUAUUAUGGUGCCGUCAUUUCGUGAUAGAGAAUAUCAGAAUAACUUUACUGAGUGCUGCAGUAGGGGAAAAAAAGGCGAAUUAACACGUGCAUACCCCUUUUUCAGAAGAGAGAACAAAGCGCACAAGAAUCUUAAUAAUUACACACAUAACUUGUCAGGAUGUAUGGUUCUUGCAACGAUGGUGAAGUAUUCUCAUAGAUUGGCCAGUGUAAGAAUCCAUCAUGGGUGAUAAAUGCUACCAGAAAAUCGUCUCAUCAGGGGUACCGGUAACCAAAAUAUUCGAAUUUGUUUGGAUUUAGCGAAAACUAGCAAAGUUUUGUUUAAAUUUCAUGAUUGGCCUAGAAAUUUCGUUCGAAAUUUAAUUCCGUCCGCUCAAAAAUUAUUUGCAAAACAAAAUAGCAAACCUUGUUUGUGGGCGUGAAAGUUUUGUGCAUCUUAGGCCCCGUUCCAUACUCCAACUCCAAACUUCAGUUUCCUCGUUUUCUGUUAGCAUGUUUUUCAAACUAAUAAACGGUGUAUUUUUUUUAAAAAAAUAUUUCUAUAUAGAAAUUAUUUAAAAAACAAAUAAAUUUAUUUUUCAAGUUUAUAAUAAUUAAUAUUUAAUUAAUCAGGUGCUAAUGAGCUUUUCUCGUUUCACGUGCACGGAAAAUAUCUCUCCAGUUGGAGAGAUCGAACGGGGCCUUAGUCCAACCGUUGGAGAGUUAUUUGAAGGAAAACCAUUUGAGUUAUUAGUGGUCAACAUGAAAUAAUAAUAUAUAGUGAACGCUGACAGUUGUUUAAAAACGGAGAAUGUAGGCCCUUUCUGUUAGACGAGAAGAGGCGAUCAUUAUCCUCACAUAAAAAACUAGAGAGAAAAGAGAGAAAGAAAAAGAUAUGCCACUAUCACUCGCCACGGGCACGCUUAUUAUAAAUAGCCCCCCUUCCAGGCUUUGCUGCAAGCAACCAAAACGUAUAGAAAGCAAGGAUGUCGUCGUACUUCCAGACCACUCAACCGUUUAGUAGGACUUACAAGAUCGGUAAACCCAAGGGCGGCGGGGACGGGCAGGGAGCUGGUAAUAAUUACUUUAUUCACUAUCAACACUAAUAUAUAUAAUUGAUAGUUUCAUUCUGCGAUAUUUGUGCGUUUGUGAAUCGCUAGAGGGAAAACAAGGAUCCGACGGUGCAGGCCGGCCGCGCGUGCGGAUAAUCACACACAACAACGACCACGAACCACGAGUCGUGCAGCACGAACAAGCUCCAGCUUCAUCUCCGGCUCCGGCCCCCGUCUCCUACUGAAUCAACUAGCAAUCAACCAACGCAUCCAUCGUAUAGAUCCGUCCAUCCCGUCAUGCACGCGUAAGUGGCACUAAAUAGUACUCCUACUCCGUAAAUAUUUCCUCAUUCCCUAAAUAUGUUUGACAUCGUUGACUUUUUUAAACAUGUUUGUUCGUUUUAUUCAAAAACUUUUGUAAUAUGUGUAAAACUAUAUGUAUACAUAAAAGUAUAUUUAACAAUAAAUCAAAUGAUAGAAAAAAAAUUAACAAUUACUUAAAUUUUUUAAAUAAGACGAACGAUCAAACAUUUUUAAAAAAAGUCAACGGCGUCAAACAUUUUAGAAUGAAGGUAGUCCUAAAAUCACCGCAAUGGUACGCACAAUAAGAUGAGCAGAUAAUUGGGACAUACGUACGUUCGUACACCUGCUAGUUGCGCUGCUCCCCCGUAGUUUCGACCGGCUUCCCGUGAGAUCGAAUAGCAUGCGGCCCAGCAUGCAUAUGUGUAAUAUGUCUUUG